rnacentral:lncRNA from 1 species
UUCUUGCGUGGAGUGAAUUAAGCUUGGAGGAUUUGAUUGGAGUUACUGAGAUGGAAGAGACAAGGCUUCGUAAUUGUUAUGCGGAAGCAAUUGAACUCAGUAGUGAUGUUUUUGUGAAGAUGAUGCUGCUAGAUGCCGCCUUCAUCAUUAUGAUCAUGCUGAAAAACUAUUUUCUAGACUUCCAGAGCAGCAACGAUCGUAUUUUCAGUAGACCAUGGAUGAUUCAUGAUAUAAGGUUUGACAUGAUCUUGCUUGAAAAUCAGCUUCCAUUCUUUUUUCUUAAUGACUUGCUUAAGCUAUCCAACCCUUAUAAAGGAUAUUCCUUGAUAGCAUUUACCCAUGGGUUCUUGAAAGGUGCAUUGGGUUCAUGGGUGACAGAUAACAUAUUAAAUGGUAUCAAUUCGUCAGAAGUGCAACAUUUUGUAGACUUUCUAAGAAUCUGUCAGCAGCCAACAAAGCUUCCUCAGCCAAGGAAACUCAAAACUCUAAACAUGCCGAGUGCAGCAGAGCUCCGUCAAGCUGGAGUCAAGUUAAAGCUGGGGUCGAGCAAGAAUCUAUCUGACUUAAAAUUCAAUAAAAGUAGAGGGAGACUGGAAAUUCCACGAUUACUAGUAAUUGACCAGACAGAGAUCUUAUUCAGAAAUCUUCAGGCAUUUGAGCAAUGCAAUUGCAGUGACAAAUAUGUGACUAACUAUAUUACCAUGAUCAAUUUGCUUGUCUGUAGUACCAGGGAUGUGGAAAUACUUGUUCGGAAAGGAAUUAUAGAAAACUGGCUGCGUGAUAAUGACGCCGUUUUAAGUGUUCUCCACAAUCUUGACAAAGAAAAUCUCAUCUUCCUCGACAAUUUCUACUUUUCUGAAAUUGUUGAAGAUCUGAAUAAAUACUGUAGAAAGCGGAGGCACAAAUGGAAUUAUUUCCGUAAUCCAUGGGCCAUAAUAUCUGUUAUCGCUGCUGCUAUUCUCCUCAUGCUCACUGUGGUACAAGCUGCGUGCUCUAUCAUUCAAGUUGUUUAGGUCUACUAUCUCAAUUGUUCUGUGAUCUGUAUGGCCAAAACUUAUCAAACUGCGGUUGUUGAGAGCUUGUAAGUAGUUUGAGUUUCUGUCCAAUAGGGUUUUUAUGAUAGACAUCAUGUUUUUUUUAUUCAAAAUAAUACUACAUCAAAAAUAAUUUUCUUAAGAGAUUUCAUCAAAAUUAUUUGCACUUUCUUUAUCAUAUAUAUUUUUUAAUGAUAAAAUAUCAUUUUUUUCUAAACACAAACUCUAAACACAAAUAUACAACUUAUUAAGCAAAUUUCAUAUGAAACAAUAUAAAUUAAUAUAUCAUUAGAUACAAAUUAUGUGGAACAAGGCACGUCGUUAAUAAUUUUAAUUAAAGAAAUUUAAUACAUCACUUAAUUAAUUUGUAUCUCUCAUGUGGUCCCAUAUAUAUAUAUAUUACAGAUUAAAUUGUUGCUAGUGAAGGCAAACUUAAGGCUGGAAGUUUCAUCUCUUUUUUGGGUUUCGUAAUUUAAUUUGAUUUCUCAGUGGUAACAAUUUUUUUGAUCUGCUUGUUUUGUUCUAAUACUAGCCAUCAUCUCAAUUCAGUCACGGGAUGGAAUCUGGUCUACCAUCAAGUAUUAAUCACGAGCUGAGUCAUCAAGUUUCGCUUGAUAUUGAUAGAUUAGCCCAAUCCGUGACGGAAGAGCUGGAAAUCUCAAAUCCUUUCAUAAAAAGUAUUUUUUUUCUUAUUUUUUUUCUUGUUAUUUACCUUUGUUCUUGUAUUUAUUCUCGUAAAUUAGUUACCGAGUCUUCCAACUUCCAACGUCUUCAUUAUUAUGGUCUUACUGAACUGGAAGUUCGUGUGCGUGUCUUUUGGAAGUAGACGUAGUGAUCACAUUUUCUUUCGUCCAUGGAAGUUAGCUGACGUAGUGUUUGAUAAAUACUUGCUUGAAAAUCAGCUUCCAUUCUUCAUCCUCAAGAAGUUGUUUGAGAUAUCCAGUGUUGCUCCAAUCCUGGGAAUUGUACCAUUAUCAAGCUUACCUGUGGCUUCUUACUAUGGAGUUGGGUUGACUGGGUAAAAGAGGACAGUUGGGAAAUAAUCAAUUCUUCUGGAGUCCUAGAUUUUGUUGACUUCUUAAGAAAGUGUCAGCAACCAACAGAGCAGCACAGUCUAGCGGAAGAAGAAGCUUAUUUAAGCGCACCCACUGCAACGGAGCUCCAUCAAUCUGGUUUGAAGUUUAAGCGUCCCGAAAAAAGCUCAUCAUUAGACAUAAGAUUCAGUAAUGGGAUUCUAGAAAUUCCACAACUAAAAAUAUUUGACCAGACAGAAAUCUUAUUCAGAAAUCUCCAGGUUUUUGAGCAAUGCCAUGGCAGGAAUGCGCAUACUUUCAUAAAUGAUUAUAUUUAUUUCAUCAGCGGCGUCGUCCGUGCUCCUAAUUAAUGAUGUGGAAGUACUUGUUAAUAAUGGGAAUUUAACAAAUAUGCUAAGCAGUAACCAAGCAGUGUCAGAUCUUUUUAAGAGUCCCAACAAAGAAAAUAUUUGCUCAACUAAUAAUUUUCUUUGGGGUGUCUGCGAAGAGCUGGAUUCACAUUGCAGAAAGCCUUGGCACAAGUGGAAUAAACAUCCUUUAAUUGAAGAUAAUUAUUACUAUUGUAAAAGCGGAUCUCAUAAAGGUUGAAGAUGUUGAAAAAUGCCAUCAGGGUAGAUAACUAUAGAGAUGAAGCUUCCACAAAACCCUUAUACAAGUCUUGCAUUAAACUUUAUAGGUUUCUAGCUUCUGUUUAAUAAUGGAGACCCUAGCUGUGUUUUACAUGGAAAUUCUGGUCUGAAAUCGACAUGGAUAGGGCAGAUGAGUAUCCGAGUCCAAUUAUUCACAUUGCUUUAAGAAACUCUUUUUAAAACAUCAUUAUCGCGACAGCUUUCACGAAUUAAUUAUGUAUUUUGGUGAAGACUCGUGUUAUUAAAGUCAGGCAGCAUCGUUCGGCUCAAUAUAUAUUUAAUAAUAAAAUAAUAAUAUUAAAAUAUUACUUUUGAAUUUUCAAAAGGGAAUUUUAAAAAUAUUAUUCUUUGCUUCGUGGAAAGUCAUGCCAGAAAAGCACUACCUGCGGUCACAGUCCUCUACGCUGCCUAAAAGUAGACUUUGAUGUUUUAAAAUAUUAUUUGUGAUUUUUGAAUUUCAAAGGGGAAUUUUAAAAAUAUUAUUCUUUGCUUUGUGGAAAGUCAUGCCAGAAAAACAAUACCUGCUGUCACAGUCCUCUACCCUGCCUAAAAGUAGGCUUUGUGGAAAGUCAUGCCCCGCAUGUGAAAUCGACGUCAGAGGUAGGGCAGAUGAAUAUACGAAUCCAAUUAUUCAAUUGUAUCAUCACAUGCGACCGUGCUAAAAAGUAUGGAAUAUCGCAAUAUUGUUAAUACAUAUAUAGAAACUCAUAACGACAUAUUCUACGUCAAAUUGCGAUAUUCCAUGCUAAAAAGUAUGCAAUAUCGCAAUUUGUCCCACAUGGAAGGAUUUAUAUAUAUAUUCAUAAUACUCAAAAGAAUGGUUAAGACUAUAGUCUUUAAAUAUGCUAAAAAGUAGUUAAUAUCGCAAUAUUGUUACGUAGGAUUCAACUCAUAAUGACGACUAUUAAGAUUAGUAUUUGCAUUACGCUGGACGGGUCACUUUGAGACAAAACAUGGCCGCCAUUGAUUGAUUUAAAAAAAUAAUAAUAAUUGAGAGUUGACUGAGACCUUAAUAUUGUCGUGAAAACACCUUUUAAAAAAAUUCAUAAAUCGUCCUUCUAACUUUCUUUUAAUUUUUUUUUAUUAAAACAACGGGUUUUUUUUUUUUCCUUCAUCUGCCAAUCAAUCGUCGACCGCGUUCCCAGCUAGCUCAAUAACUUGGGUAUCAUGUUUCAUCAUAUCACAGCAAAUGAACACAUCUUUAAUUAAGAAACGACUGCAUUAAUUGUUUAAAACCAUAAACUUCCCACUCCAGAUCAAAGGCACUUUAGAAGCUUUUGUUGUUUUUUCCUGUCAUAAAUAUUCAGUAAAAAUGCAGAGUGUUGUUUCGAGGGAUUCGAGAGUUGUUCGAAAAAACUUUAAAUUAUGAUCCCGUUAUCAUAUCCUACAAAUUGAAAGGCUGCCCAAAAAGCUAAGCAACUUGUCAUCUUAUUGAAGUAAUUGAGGGCCAAUCAUUCAAAAUAAUAUACUACAAUAAUUAUUUAUUGAUUAUUAAGCUAAUUGAUGAAUUGACGAAAAUAAUAAAUAUCUCACAAAUGUCAACAAUCUUUCCUAACUUCUAGUUUUUCUUAUUUGUAAUAUUUUUAAGGGGGCACAAUGAAAUAAUAACAACACUGAAUUUUCCUUACAUUCAAAUAAAUGCAUACAUUUAUGAGAUAUUUAUUAUUCCUGCCAAUCCAUCAAUUACCUGAAUCAAUAAAUAAUUCAUGAUUCAUGAGUUUUGCUUUUCAACACCACUCAAAACGAUUUCUACACUUUUUGAAUGAUGGGCCCUCCAUUAUUAUUCAUCUCUCCAGAGAUCAUAAAAGGGCCAGAGAGCAAGGCCACGUUUAUAUUCCGGAAUUCAUUUUUUGGGAAAACACUUUCCAAACUUUCUUGUGUUUAUUUGCCAUUAGAAAAGUUAAUCAACGGAAAACAUUUUCCGGUCAACAGAAAACACUUUCCAGUAAACGGAAACACUUUUCGGUCAACGGAAAACACUUUUCAGUCAAAUAAAAAUUUGGUUUGAUUUUCAGGAAAUUGUUUUCCCUUUUGGCUGUGUUUAUUUUCUGGAAAGUGGUUUCUGGGAAACCACUUUCCAAACUUUCCUGUGUUUGUUUGCCAUUAAAAAAGUUGGUCAACGAAAAACACUUUCCAGUCAAAGGAAAAUUUGGCUUGGUUUUCAGGAAAGUGUUUUCCUGAAAAAUUUGGGCGGAAAACACUUUCCGGAAGUUGUGAAAAAUUUAGAAAUGUCAUUAUUUGCUGAUUAUAUCAAAUUUGAUCCUCAAACUUUUGAUUGUUAUAUAUAAUUUGUUUUGAAUAUUUAUUUUUCAAUUCCAUCUCUUAAAAUUUAAUUUUUAUAUUAAUUUUGGUCCUUAUUUUUAUAAUUGAUAUUUGCUUUUUCCUUAUCAUUUUUUUAUUGAAAUUUUUUAUCUAUCAAAUUUGAUCCUUAUUCUUUUGAUUGUUACUUAUUUUAUUUAAAAUAAUUUAUGAAAUGUUAAUUAUUAUUAUUUUAAUUUCUUCACCUUUUAUUUUUUUAAUUUUUUAGAUUUGAUCUCUAUUAUUUUGAUUAUUAUUUAUUUUAUUUGAGAUAAUUUAUGAAAUUAUAUUUUUUUUCAAUUUCAUUCUCAUUCAACUUUUUAAUUUGUAAGAUUUGUUCCUCAUUAUUUUAAUAAACUUGAGAAAAAUAAAACAUUAAUAAGUUAUUUUCCAGCUCAUUUUCCAUGACAUAACCAAACACUGGAAAAUGUUUUCCAACUUAUUUUCCAUUACACUACCAAAUAUCGGAAAAUACUUUCCCGGAAUUCACUUUCCCUGAAUUCACUUUCCAAAAGGAAACUACUUUCCAGCAAACAAACGGGAUCCAAGCAUUAAUUGUCAACUUCACAUUGCUAAGCAAGAUUCUCCUUCGAUCUGUUCAUGUAGAAAAGAAUAAGUAAAAAAUUAAGAGUUAAUUUCUCCUCCUAACUUUAUUCUUUUGAAAAAAAUAAAAUCUGGUAUGGGUACGUAGAGAAACCAAAACAUAUAUUUUUUGUCAUUAGAAAUAAAAAAGUAUUCUUUUUCUAAAAAAUAUUUUUAAAACAUAAAAAUAAAAAAAAGGUAUUAUUCUUUUUAUAUGUUAGAUAUAUGAAAAUCUACCUUUUAAAGUAGUCUUGGUGUUUUUGGUUGGGCUUGAGAUGAAUAUGGCAUGCAUUUUGCAUAUCCAUUCGAAAGUAUAUAGAUUCCGUCAUUUUUGGUUUCAAUGUUACUCGCUACUCACUCAUUUUCUUUUAUAUUCUUCUCACUGGAUUUUCCUUAGCGGGCAACAUAGCUAAGCCCCUCGAUCUCCAUAGCUUACUUAGUGCUGUAUCAAUUUUAUUUUCUUAAAAAAAUCUGGGUUUUGGGCUAGAUUUAGCCGGAUCAACCAUUUAUUGGAUUACUCAAGUUUGUCCACGUCAGUGACAAAACGGGUUGAAUUUAAUAAUUAUAAUUACAUGUAUAAUUACAAGAAGAUGAAUAUAUACAUGUCUAUAACUAUGAUAAUAAAAAACAACAAAUAGAGAAAACUUGCAAUGAAAAUGUGUUUUUUUAAAAUUAAAUAAAAACGGGGAACUUGUUGAUCGGUCUACUCUAUAAUUAUCCGACGUCAUUUCUGCAGUUAUGAAUCAACCAACCUAAUGUUGGGUGGGAGACAACGUAAAUGUCACCUGUCACAGCAAAUAAAUUUUCUUAAAAUCUUCUGUCCUUACCUAUAUUAUUUCUCAUAUGAUCAUCCAAAAGUUUGGGAGAAAUAUCCCAAGGACAUGCCAAAUAUAUUAAAUGGCAUCUUAUCGCCCCCACCUACCAAGAUUUAUAAUAUUGUUUCUUUCAUUUUAUUUAAAUAACUUAUUAAUUAUAAUAUUGUUGAUUUAUUUUAUCAGAUUUUAAUGUAAUUUAAUUUAUUAACUAGAAUUGUCAAUAUAUAAUUAAUUAAAAAAAUACUUAUAAUUUUACUAUCUCAAUUUAUAAACUAAGUUUUUUUUUUUUAAUGUCAUGUUAAAAAAAAAAACGUUUUUGAUAAACUUGAUGUGAAGUUGACAAUUGCUUGGUCGCCUUUUUAUCUCUGGAGAGAUGAAUAAUAAUGGAGGGCCAAUCAUUCAAAAAUAUGGAAAUUGUUUUUAGUGGUGUGGAAUAGGAAAACUCAUGAAUCAUUAAUUAUUUAUUGAUUCACCUAAUUGAUGGAUUGACAGGAAUAAUAAAUAUCUCAUAAAUGUAUGCAUAAGGAAAAUUUUCUAUCAGAGGAAGCUGGAUGCUGCCUUCGUCAUUAUGUUUUUGCUGAAGUGCAAGUACAGAGACUUCAGAGGAAGCAGAGACAGCAUUUUCUAUCCUCCACACAAGAGUGUAGAUGUAAGGGUUGAUAUCUGUUUGCUUGAAAAUCAGCUCCCGUUCUUCAUCCUCGAGGAGUUGUGUGGACUAUCCACUAUACUCGGCAAUUCUCCGAAACCUACACUGAUUGAGCUUACUCAUGGGUUCUUUUCAAAAGAAUGGGGUUCAUGGGCAGUAGGGGAAUAUUGGGGGAAAAUAGAUUUCUCCGAAGUGAAACAUUUGGUUGACUUUCUUACAAUUUAUCAACAGCCACCUCAACAGCAGCAGAAUGAGGAACUUGAGGUUCUAACCGCACCCAGUGUAAAGGAGCUCCACCAAGCGGGGGUCAAGUUUGUGUUGAGUUCAAGCAAAAAUCUUCUUGACAUAAAAUUCGAUAGAAAUAAAGGGAGACUGGAAAUUCCACGAUUACAGUUAGAUGACAGUACAGAAAUCAUAAUCAGGAAUAUGCAAGCCUUUGAGCAGUGCCAUGGCCUGUAUGGUUAUGUUGGUGACUAUAUCUUCUUGAUGGGUCUCUUUGUCAGUGCCAGUAAGGAUGUGGAAAUGCUUGUUGAAAAUCGUAUUAUAGAAAACUGGCUACCGUCUAAUGAGGAAGUGGUACAACUCUUUUACAAUCUCAACAAACAAAAUAGUGUGCGGGGACGUUUUUUUCUCUUCAAAGGUCUCAUUAAAGAUCUGAAUGCAUUCUGCGAAAAGCCAUGGAACAAGUGGAAGGCAAAUUUAAAGCAAAAUUAUUUCAAUACCCCAUGGGCAGCAAUCUCUGUCUCAGGAGCUGUUAUUCUUCUCAUUCUGACUGUCCUACAGUCCGUCUGCUCUAUACUCCAAGUAGGUUAGCUUCUGCAAUUUCAAUUCUUUCAUACCGCAUGUUGCAUUAAUUGUACCCAUAAUCCUUGUUCUCUUACUUGAGGUACUUUUCUUCUAAUAAAUGACAAAGUUGUUCCAAGCAAUGAAGACUGUAUAAUUUGUUCUGAUUGUCUCUUAGAAACUGAAAUUGUUUUAUUCUAUGCCUUCCACGCGCAUGCUUAACAUGGGGUUUAAGGUCGCAGCGGCUGCUUUCUUUCAUCUUAGAUUAUUGAUAAAGGAAGAAAGCAUAACUCCUUAGGUCGGUUUGGAUCUGGUUGCGGUUACUUUUUAAAUUGUUUUUCAUGCUAAAAUGUAUUAAAAUAAUAUUUAUUUAUUUUUUAAAAAUUAUUUUUGAGAUCAGCACAUCAAAUCAAAACGAUCCAAAAUACAUAUAUAUAAAAUAUUUUUUAAGAAAAAAAAUUAAAAUUUUUAGAAAUGCUGAUUGGCCCACAUUUUCAAACGUUAUUUUAAUCAUCAUGCCAACACACCUUGAGAUUAUUGUUUACAUUAUCAUAAAGUUAGAUUCACACAUCCGACAAUUAGAGUGGAAAAUAAAGUCCCAUAAGAUGGAUUUCAAAAUCAAGCCCUCUAGGGUAAUUUUUGUUAAGAAAUAUAUUUAUUUUAUUUAUUUAUUAAAAGUAGGAUAAUAUUUUUAAUUUAUCUUAUAUAUAACCUCAUAGCAUUAAGGUUAAAAACAUAACUUUAAAAUAAAGUGAUCAAUGAAACCUUAACCCCCUUCUCUCUUAUAUUCGUAUUUCUCUUUGUUUGAAACAAGUUGCUUAAUAUGGUAUUAGAGCAUGGUUCCAUGGAACGAAACUUAAUUUCAAACACAACUUUCAUGAAUUUUUUGGAGUGAUAUUUUUUCAAUUUCUGCAAUCAGUUUUUGCAAAUAUGAUAUUUUGUCUUCUCUUUAGUUUCUACAAUUUAGUAUUUGCAUUCUAUUUCUGCAAUUUUUUUGGGAGUGAUCAUAUAACUUUGAGAAGAUAUUUAUUCAGUUUUUGUAAUAUUUAUUCAUUUUCUGCAAUUUAGUAUUUUUUUUUUGCUUCUUUUGCAUUCUGGUUUUUUUUUUAUUUGUUGAUUAUGACUACUGAAAGAGAUAAUUCGCUUCAGUCGACUGUGAGUGUGAGGUUAGAUGAAAAGAACUAUUCAUAUUAGAGUUAUGUAAUGAAAAAUUUCGUUAAGAAUAAAAAGAUAUGAAGAUAUGUUAAUGAAACUUAUGUUAUAUCUAAGAAUAUUGAUUAAAGGUAUGUUAUUUUGAUAAAUGUAUGGGAAGCAAACAAUGCAAAGAUUAUUACCUGGAUUAACAAUUAUGUUGAGCAUUUCAUAGGUACACAGUUAGCAAAAUAUGAGACAACAAAAGAGGUUUGAGAUCAUUUGCAAAUGUUAUUCACACAAUCAAAUUUAUCAAAGCAAUAUCAAUUAGCAACAUUGAUACAAGUCAUAUCAUUCUGUCUUUAUAUGUUGAUGACAUGAAUAUUAUUGGUGAUGACAUUGAUGAUAUUUCAGUUUUAAAGACAAAGUUGGUUAGACAGUUUGAAAUGAAGGAUUUAAGCUAUCUUCAAUAUUUCAUGGGUAUUGAGGUAACUCGUUCACUCAGAGGUUACCUUAUUUCUCAAUUAAAAAUAUUACAGAUAUUUUUGAGCUGGCUAGACUUACUAACAAUAAGACUAUAAAUACUCUCAUUGAGGUUAAUGCAAUAUAUUCUUUUUCGGAUGGUUUACAUUUGUUAGAUCCUACUUUAUACCGUACUAUUAGUGGGAGCUUGGUAAAUCUCAUUAUUACUUAUCCAAAUAUUGUAUAUGUUGUUCAUAUUGUUAGUUAGUUUGUUGCUUUUUCUACUACCAUUUAAGAGCUUAGUUGAGAGUUUUAGAUAUUUGACAUGCAGUCGUUCGUAUAUUCUUUAUAGAAUAGGACUUGUGAGUAGGUUUAUAAAAACAUCAACUAUAACUCAUGUUUCUACUCAAUUUUUAAUUUAUGUUUUUAAUAAAUUGUCAGAAAAAAAUCAAAAAUAGUAAAAAAAUAAUAAAAACUCAAAAAAUACAUUCUUGAUAUAUUUGUAUUAUUUUCAUCAUUUUCAGUAUUAUCUUUAAAAAAAUUUAAAUUUUAAAAGUUUUUUAAAUACAUUCAAAUUUUAAUAUAUUAUUUUUAAAAUUAUUAAUUUUUCUUGUUGAAUUUUAAUGUUAAAUCAAUGUUGAUGUCGCGUUAUCAGAAAAUAAAAAUAUAAAUAUUUUACCAAGCAUUUGAAAUAAAUAAUAUUUUUACUAUAAUAGUUAAUAAUAUUUUACCAAGCCGCCGCCGCCCUCUCUUCCCUGGUUUUCUCCCAGAACCAUAGCCCCUCACUCUCUUCCCCAGUCGCCAUUUCCAGCACCUAAAACCAGCCACUCUCCUUUCUCCCCCCAGCCGCCAGCCACACCCAGAGCCCACAUUUCCUCCCUCAGAUCCACCCGCACUCUCCCUUCUUCCCGGCCACUGCACCUCCCUUCAUCUCUAGCAAAACCACCUCCACCCUCACUCCAGCCGCCCACUAACAGGAGACCAGACCUUCCCCCAUCUCUGCUACCUCUAUUUCCUCUCCCUCUCUCAGCCACGACCAAAAAAAUCUCACCGGCAGCUCAACCAUUCUCCCCCCCACCGCGACCCGACUCAGCAAAAACCUAGUCAUGCCAGCAGCCUCUUGGUCUUACCGCCGGCAACCUGAAACAGAGAAGAAGAAGGCGAAACCAAAAGAAAAAAAAAAUCUGUAGGGAGAGAAGCAGAUCCAUAAACGAGAAGGAAAGAAAACCAAAACUUGUGUUGCGUCUUUUCUUUUUCAGGUCUCCAUCGGUGACACCGCCGGCACAAGAAAGGAAUAAAGGAGGAGAUCUAUCCGAUCCCCUCAUUUUUCACAUCACCGGCGACGGUGAACAUAGUAAAAUUUCCACCACUGUUCCCGAGUCCAUUUUGUAAUCUUUAACGCCGAAAUGUGUAUUCAAAUUAUUGUUAGCAUUUUAAAUUUGUGUUACAUUGUAAACUUGAAACUGUGAUGUGUGAGUAAACAUAGGAAAAAUAGAAUGUUUGGGUGUGUUUUGUAUUUUUUUUUAUGUAUGUUUUCGAAUGUCAAAACCGAAACAAAAAGAAAAAAAAAUAAAUGUUCUAAUUUGUAUAAGGCCAGAUGUUUCAAAAAAUAUUAUAUUUCACAUGAAAAUCCAAGAAUAUAUUUUUGCAUAUAUUUUGGGGUUUAAUAAUCUGUUUAUAAAAAAUAUCAAAAAUCUUGUUUUUUUUAUAAUAUCUUGAAUUAUAAAUUUAUAUGGAAAAUAUAUUUUUUUUAUAUUAAAUAAAAUGUAUUUUUAUUUUGUUUUUAAAUUAAUAUUAAAACACUUAAAUUUUCUUCAUCUGAUAAGAUAAGAAUUUUUCUUUAAAUUUUUCUUUAAUUUUUUAUAUGCCGCCAAUAAAACAACUAUUAAAACCUUUAAAGCACAUCUAAUCUAAUUAUAGAGCAGCUUAUAUCAUGUAGGAUAUGUAAGGGGUGCUAAUUCCUAGUCACAAUCAAUUAUUUGCUCUUAAAUUUCUGACAAUAUCAGUAUACUUGAGUUUUUCAGUCAUUCUAAACUAAAUACUAAAUGGUGACUCCAAAAAGCAAACAUAAACAAAACUAUCCCAAGUCCACGUGUGUAAACUCACUUCAAAGUCUUGAAGCGAAUAUUUCUAUGAUAUAUCAAAGGUACAAUAGAUCUUAGCUUAUUCAGUGGUUAUAGUAAUAGCUUUGAUAUUGUGGAUUAUAAUAAUGGUGAUUGAGUUUCUAUGAUAUAUCAAAGGUUUAAUAGAUCUUAGCUUAUUCAGUGGUUAUUGUAAUAGCUUUGAUCUUAUGGAUUAUAAUAAUAGUGAGUGAGUUAGAGAUAUGGAUGAUAAAAAGAUCAUUACAGGUUUUGUUUUCAACAUGAGAGAAACAACUUUUACAUGGAAUUCAAAGAAUAAAUCUAUUAUCACAUUAUCUACUUGUGAAGCUGUAGAUGCAGCUAUUAUAGCAUAUGUUUAUCAUUUUAUAUGGCUAAAAAGAUUAUUGAAGAAGUUGCGAAUGCCACAAAAAAAAAAACCUACAAAGAUUUAUAUGAACAACUCAUCAGUCAUUGUAUUAGCUAAAAAUCCAGUUUUUCAUGACAAAAGUAAGCACAUUGACACAACAUUUUAUUAUUUAAGAGAAUGUAGUGGAAAGAAGAAAGUUGAAGUCAAGUAUGUGAAGACUCAAGAUCAAGUCACAGAUAUUUUCACAAAGCCACUCGAAUAUGAUGUUUUUGCAAAGAUGAGAGAUAUGUCGAGAGUUAUAAAUAAUAAUAGCAGUUAAUAUUGAGAGGGAGUGUUGAAGUUCAAUAUCAAUUAGGAUUUAAGCUUAUAUAAUUUAGAGUUUGUAAGAGUUAUAAUAUUGUUAGAACUUCACAAUAUUAAGAUUAUUAUCUAUUAGCAUUUUAUCAUUAUUAGAUAAAAAAUCUAAUUAAAGGAGAAAUUCUAGUUAAUGUAAGAAUCCUUGAUGAAAAAUGAUUUAUAAUAUACUAGUUUAUUAGAAUUUUUAUUUAAUAAGAAUGUUAGAUUUCUUAUUAAAUUUUAAUUUUUUUAAAAAAAAUUUAAUUUCUUGAUUAUCUAGAACUUGAGUUCUAUAAAUAGAAUUAUAAUCAAAAGAAUAAUUCACAAGAAUAGCUAGAGAGACACAAAAAAGAGCUAAAAAGAUAUAUUUUUUGAGAAAACUUUUCAUAAAAAAUAUUAUUUUUCUUGUUAUUUACCUUUGUUCUUGUAUUUAUUCUCGUAAAUUAGUUGCCGAGUCUAUCCUUCUCUUCCAACUUCCAACUUCCAACGUCGUCAUUAUUAUGGUCUUUCUGAACUGGAAGUUCGUGUGCGUGUCUUUUGGAAGUAGACGUAGUGACCACAUUUUCUUUCGUCCAUGGAAGUUAGCUGACGUAGUGUUUGAUAUAUACUUGCUUGAAAAUCAGCUUCCAUUCUUCAUCCUCGAGAAGUUGUUUGAGAUAUCCAGUGUUGCUGCCAAUCCUGGGAAUUGUACCAUUAUCAAGCUUACCUGCGGCUUCUUACUAUGGAGUUGGGUUGACUGGGUAAAAGAGGACAGUUGGGAAAUAAUCAAUUCUUCUGGAGUCCUAGAUUUUGUUGACUUCUUAAGAAAGUGUCUGCAACCAACAGAGCAGCACAGUCUAGCGGAAGAAGAAGCUUAUUUAAGCGCACCCACUGCAACGGAGCUCCAUCAAUCUGGUUUGAAGUUUAAGCGUCCCGAAGAAAGCUCAUCAUUAGACAUAAGAUUCAGUAAUGGGAUUCUAGAAAUUCCACAACUAAAAAAAUUAUAUGAUCAGACAGAAAUCUUAUUCAGAAAUCUCCAGGCCUUUGAGCAAUGCCAUUAUAGUUUUUUUUAUUAAGAAAUAUUGUAUUAAAAUAUUAUUUUUUUUAUUUUUUAAAAAUUAUUUUUAUAUUAACAUAUGAAAAUACAUAAAAAAAAUUAAUUUAAAAUUAAUUUUUUUAAUACAUUUUUUAAUGAAAUAAUAUUUUAAGAACUGAAUUCACAUUGCAUAAAGCCUUGGCACAAGUGGAAGGCAACCUAGAAGCAGGUUUAUUUCAACAAUCCAUUGACUGACAUCUCUGUUUGUGGAAUCAAAGUUGAAAAGUGCUACAUUUUCCUGUGAUGUGAUAUUGAUUAAGAGAUUUGUAGAAUAAGACGUGGUGCAGAACUGUAGAAGAUAAGGUACAAGACUAGGAAAGUCCUCAGGAAAACUGUAGAAUUGCACAGUUUGAGUGAGAAGUGAGAGGUGGUCCCCUUUUAUCAGAUAAAUAACAGAGGGCCAAUCAUUCAGGAAAAAAAAAACAUAAAAAGAAUUGGAAAUGGUUUGUUGGUAUAUUGAAAUAGAAAAUUGUAGAAUCAUUAUUUAUUGAUUCAGCUAAUUGAUGGAUCGAUAAAAAAAAUAAAAUGCUUUAUAAAUAUAUGCUUAUGAAUACAAAUCAUUUGAUUGAGAUUGUUUCAUAAUCCCUGAAAUAUAUAUAUAGUUUGAUUGGAGCACUGGUGAUUGUUGAAAGAUUUAUGAUAUUAAAACUUGAUUAUUAUUUUAUAGAACUAUUUAAGGUAAAAAUAUUUUUAUGAAUAAAUGAAAUUUAUAGUUUGAUUUGUAAAAUAUUUUACAUCCUAUACAGUAUUUUACAUAUAAUUAAUAAACAUCCUUUAAUAAAAAAAUAAUAUUGUAAAAUUUUAUCUAAAAAAGGCUUAGAAAGGUUUAAUCAAAAAAUUAAUAAAGUAAAACUUUCACAAAACUUUUAAACAAGUUUUGCAUUAAAAUCGGAUCUUUUUGUUUUGGGGCCAUCCCAUACCACUAUCCAAAAUAUAUAUAUGUCUCAAAUCCAAAAUCUUUCUAAAACAUUAUUAUCACGAGAGCUUUCAUGAAUUAAUUAUAUAUUUUGGUGAAGACUCAUGUCAUUAAAGUCAGGUAGCAUCCCCUCCACGUCAGGUGAAUAUAAAUAAGACAACAAAAGAGAAGGGACAGCUUGAAAACCUAAGGCUGUUUAUUCAUGGAAAUUCUAGUGUGAAAUCGACAGAGAUAGGGCACGUGAAUGAUGAAUAUACGAAUCCAGUUAUUCAAUUGAAUCACAUGCGACCAUGCAUGCCCCCCCACAUGGAUGGAUGGAUUUAUAUAUUCAUGAUAAUCAAAAGAAUGGUUAAGACUAUAUUCUUUAAAUAUGCUAAAAAGUAGUUAAUCCCAUUAGCUUACCGAUCAACGGCUCAAAUCCCAUUCACUGUCUCCUUCCUUCCUCCUUCACCUCUCCCCUUGCCCUAUAAAAAUCGCCAGAACCUCCCAUCCCUACCCACCAAAAACUUUCGUAAUUGAAUUUGUUUUCUCUGUGAUAACAAUUUUUUUGAUCUGCUGGUUUUGUUCUAAUACUAGCUAUCAUCUCAGUUCUGUCACAGGAUGGAAACUGUUGGAACAUCAAGCACUGAUGAUGAGCCGAGUCGACAUCAAGUUUCGCUAGAUAUCGAGACAUUAGCCAAAUCUGUGAAGGCCGAGCUGGAAAUCUCAUAUGCUUUCUCCGACACAUGUUGUAUAUAUAAAGUUCCGGAGCAAUUGCGCGAGGUGAACGAAAAGGCCUACACACCUCGAUUGGUCUCCAUAGGCCCAAUUCACCAUGCUAAAGAGAAGCUAAAAGCCAUGGAAGACCACAAAAGAAUGUAUCUGAAAGAAUUCCUUGCCCGGAGCGAGGUAAGUGUAGAGGGUUUUAUUGAAUUUAUUAAGGAGAACGAAACAAGAUUGCGUAAUUGCUAUGCGGAAACCAUUGAGUUUAAUAGCGAAUACUUCAUAAAAAUGAUAUUAAUGGAUGCUGCCUUCGUCAUUAUGUUUUUGCUGAAGUGCAAAAACAAAGACUUCAGCGGUAGCAGAGACAGCAUUUUCUAUCCUCCACACAAGAGUGUAGAUGUAAGGGUUGAUAUCUGUUUGCUUGAAAAUCAGCUCCCGUUCUUCAUCCUCGAGGAGUUGUGUGGACUAUCCACUAUACUCGGCAAUUCUCCGAAACCUACACUGAUUGAGCUUACUCAUGGGUUCUUUUCAAAAGAAUGGGGUUCAUGGGCAGUAGGGGAAUAUUGGGGGAAAAUAGAUUUCUCCGAAGUGAAACAUUUGGUUGACUUUCUUACAAUUUAUCAACAGCCACCUCAACAGCAGCAGAAUGAGGAACUUGAGGUUCUAACCGCACCCAGUGUAAAGGAGCUCCACCAAGCGGGGGUCAAGUUUGUGUUGAGUUCAAGCAAAAAUCUUCUUGACAUAAAAUUCGAUAGAAAUAAAGGGAGACUGGAAAUUCCACGAUUACAGUUAGAUGACAGUACAGAAAUCAUAAUCAGGAAUAUGCAAGCCUUUGAGCAGUGCCAUGGCCUGUAUGGUUAUGUUGGUGACUAUAUCUUCUUGAUGGGUCUCUUUGUCAGUGCCAGUAAGGAUGUGGAAAUGCUUGUUGAAAAUCGUAUUAUAGAAAACUGGCUACCGUCUAAUGAGGAAGUGGUACAACUCUUUUACAAUCUCAACAAACAAAAUAGUGUGCGGGGACGUUUUUUUCUCUUCAAAGGUCUCAUUAAAGAUCUGAAUGCAUUCUGCGAAAAGCCAUGGAACAAGUGGAAGGCAAAUUUAAAGCAAAAUUAUUUCAAUACCCCAUGGGCAGCAAUCUCUGUCUCAGGAGCUGUUAUUCUUCUCAUUCUGACUGUCCUACAGUCCGUCUGCUCUAUACUCCAAGUAGGUUAGCUUCUGCAAUUUCAAUUCUUUCAUACCGCAUGUUGCAUUAAUUGUACCCAUAAUCCUUGUUCUCUUACUUGAGGUACUUUUCUUCUAAUAAAUGACAAAGUUGUUCCAAGCAAUGAAGACUGUAUAAUUUGUUCUGAUUGUCUCUUAGAAACUGAAAUUGUUUUAUUCUAUGCCUUCCACGCGCAUGCUUAACAUGGGGUUUAAGGUCGCAGCGGCUGCUUUCUUUCAUCUUAGAUUAUUGAUAAAGGAAGAAAGCAUAACUCCUUAGGUCGGUUUGGAUCUGGUUGCGGUUACUUUUUAAAUUGUUUUUCAUGCUAAAAUGUAUUAAAAUAAUAUUUAUUUAUUUUUUAAAAAUUAUUUUUAAGAUCAGCACAUCAAAUCAAAACGAUCCAAAAUAUAUAUAUAUAAAAUAUUUUUUAAGAAAAAAAAUUAAAAUUUUUAGAAAUGCUGAUUGGCCCACAUUUUCAAACGUUAUUUUAAUCAUCAUGCCAACACACCUUGAUAUUUUUUAAAUUGUUUUUCAUGUUAAAGUAUAUUAAAAUAAUGUUUAUUUAUUUUUUAAAAAUUAUUUUUGAGAUCAGCGUAUCAAAAUUAUCCAAUAUAUAUAAAAAAAUAAUAAUUUUUAACAAAAAAAUUGAAUUUUUUAGAAACGCUAAUUAACCCCAUUUCCAAACGCUUUUUUAAUCAUCAUGCCAACACACCUUGAGAUUAUUGUUUACAUUACCAUAAAGUUAGAUUCACAACCGACAAUUAGGGUGGAAAAUAAAGUCACAUAAGACGGAUUUCAAAAUCAAGCCCUCUAGGGUAAUUUUUGUUAAGAAAUAUAUUUAUUUUAUUUAUUUAUUAAAAGUAAAACAAUAUUUUUAAUUUAUUUUAUAUAUAAUCUUGUAGUAUUAAGGUUAAAAACAUAACUUCAAAAAAAAAAUGAUCAAUGAAACCCUAACCCUCUUCUCUCUUAUGUUCGUAUUUCUCUUUGUUUGAAACAAGUUGCUUAAUAUGGUAUUAGAGCAUGGUUUUAUGGAACGAAACUUAAUCUCAAACACAACUUUCAUGAAUUUUUUGGAGUGAUAUUUGUUCAAUUUCUGCAAUCAGUUUUUGCAAAUAUGGUAUUUUAUCUUCUCUUUAGUUUCUACAAUUUAGUAUUUGCAUUCUAUUUCUGCAAUUUUUUUGGGAAUGAUCAUAUAACUUCGAGAAGAUAUUUAUUCAGUUUUUGCGAUAUUUGUUCAGUUUCUGCAAUCUAGUAUUUUGUUUUUUGCUUCUUUUACAUUCUGGUUUUUUUCUAUUUGUUAAUUAUGGCUACUGAAAGAAAUAAUCUGCUUCAGUCUGUGAGUGUGAGGUUAGAUGAAAAGAACUAUUUAUAUUAGAGUUAUGUAAUGAGAAAUUUUCUUAAGGAUAAAAAGAUAUGGAGAUAUGUUAAUGAAACUUAUGUUAUAUCUAAGAAUACUGAUUAAAGGUAUGCUAUUUUGAUAAAUGCAUGGGAAGCAAACAAUGCAAAGAUUAUUACUUGAAUUAAUAAUUUUGUUGAGCAUUUUAUAGGUACGUAGUUAUCAAAAUAUGAGACAACAAAAGAGGUUUGAGAUUAUUUACAAAUGUUAUUCACACAAUCAAAUUUAUCAAAGCAAUAUCAAUUAGUAACAUUGAUACAAGUCAUAUCAUUUUGUCUUUAUAUGUUGAUAACAUAAUUAUUAUUGGUGAUGACAUUGAUGAUAUUUUAGUUUUGAAGAUAAAGUUGGUUAGACAGUUUGAAAUGAAGGAUUUAAGCUAUCUUCAAUAUUUCAUGGGUAUUGAGGUAGCUCGCUCACUCAGAUGUUACUUUUUUUCUCAAUAAAAAAAUAUUGCAGAUAUCCUUGAGCGAGCUAAACUUACUAACAAUAAGACUAUAAAUACUCUCAUUGAGGUUAAUGCAAUAUAUUCCUUUUCGAAUGGUUUACAUUUGUUAGAUCCUACUUUAUAACAUACUAUUGGUGGGAGCUUGGUAAAUCUAAUUAUUACUUGUCCAAAUAUUGCAUAUGUUGUUCAUGUUGUUAGUCAAUUUGUUGCUUGUUCUACUACCAUUCAAGAGCUUAGUUGGGAGUUUUAGAUAUUUGACAUGCAGUCGUUUGUAUAUUCUUUAUAGAAUAGAACUUGUGAGUAGGUUUAUAAAAAUAUCAACUCUACUCAAUUUUUAAUUCAUGUUUUUGAUAAAUUUUCAGAAAAAAAUUAAAAAUAAUAAAAAACAAUAAAAACCUAAAAAAUACAUUUUUGAUAUCUUUGUAUUAUUUUUAUCAUUUUCAGUAUUAUCUUUAAAAAAUUUAAAUUUUAAAAGUUUUUUAAAUACAUUCAAAUUUUAAUAUAUUAUUUUUAAAAUUAUUAAUUUUUCUUGUAGAAUUUUAAUGUUAAAUCAAUGUUGAUGUAGCGUUAUCAGAAAAUAAAAAUAUAAAUAUUUUACCAAGCAUUUGAAAUAAAUAAUAUUUUUACUAUAAUAGUUAAUAAUAUUUUACCAAGCCGCCGCCGCCGCCCUCUCUUCCUUGGUUUUACUCCCAGAACCAUAGCCCCUCACUCUCUUCCCCAGUCGCCAUUUCCAGCACCGAAAACCAGCCACUCUCCUUUCUCCCCCCAGCCACCAGCCACACCCAGAGCCCACAUUUCCUCCCUCACAGAUCCACCCUCACUCUCCCUUCUUCCCGGCCACUGCACCUCCCUUCAUCUCUAGCAAAACCACCUCCACCCUCACUCCAGCCGCCCACUAACAGGAGACCAGACCUUCCCCCAUCUCUGCUACCUCUAUUUCCUCUCCCUCUCUCAGCCAUGUUAGAGAAUAAUAUAAAUCAUAUCCUGGGACCUCACCUAACAGUUUAAGCUUUUGGGUUGAGAUCGUUCUUUGACAUGGUAUCAGAGCCUUGAUGACCAAGCGGUCACGAGUUCGAAUCUCACCAUCCUCAUUUAUUUGAUAAAAAUUAAGCACAAGGUAAUGUGGGCCUGUGCAAGUUUCAAGCCCAAAGGGCUUUCACUUGAGGGGGUGUGUUAGAGAAUAAUAUAAAUCAUAUCCUGGGACCUCACCUAACAGUUUAAGCUAUUGGGUUGAAUUGGUUCUUUGACAAGCCACGACCAAAAAAAUCUCACCGGCAGCUCAACCAUUCUUCCCCCCACCGCGACCCGACUCAGCAAAAACCUAGUCAUGCCAGCGGCCUCUUGGUCUUACCGCCGGCAACCUGAAACAGAGAAGAAGAAGGCGAAACCAAAAGAAAAAAAAAUUUGUAGGGAGAGAAGCAGAUCCAUAAACGAGAAGGAAAGGAAACCAAAACUUGUGUUGCGUCUUUUCUUUUGCAUGUCUCCAUCGGUGACACCGCCGGCACAAGAAAGGAAUAAAGGAGGAGAUCUAUCCGAUCCCCUCAUUUUUCACAUCACCGGCGACGGUGAACAUAGUAAAAUUUCUACCACUGUUCCCGAGUCCAUUUUGUAAUCUUUAGACGCCGAAAUGUGUAUUCAAAUUAUUGUUAGCAUUUUAAAUUUGUGUUACAUUAUAAACUUGGAACUGUGAUGUGUGAGUAAACAUAGGAAAAAUAGAAUGUUUGGGUGUGUUUUGUAUUUUUUUUAUGUCUGUUUUCGAAUGUCAAAACCGAAACAAAAAGAAAAAAAAAAUAAAUGUUUUAAUUUGUAUAAUGCCAGAUGUUUCAAAAAAUAUCAUAUUUCACAUGAAAAUCCAAGAAUAUAUUUUUGCAUAUGUUUUGGGUUUAAUAAUCUGUUUAUAAAAAGUAUUAAAAAUCUUGUUUUUUUUUAUAAUAUCUUGAAUUAUAAAUUUAUAUGGAAAAUAUAUUUUUUUAUAUUAAAUAAAAUGUAUUGUUAUUUUGUUUUCAUAUUAUUAUUAAAACACUUAAAUUUUCUUUACCCGAUAAAAUAAGAAUUUUUCUUUAAUUUUUGACAGGCCGGUAAUAAGACAACCAUUAAAAACUUUAAACCACAUCUAAUCAUAGAGUAGCUUAUAUCAUGUAAGAUAUGUUAAGGGUGCUAAUUCCUAGUCACAAUCAAUCAUUUGCUCUUAAAUUUUUGACAAUAUCAGUAUACCUGGGUUUUUCAGUCAUCCUAAACUAAAUACUAAAUAGUGACUCCAAAAAACAAACAUCAACUGAACUACCCUAACACCGUGUGUCCACAUGCGUAGACUCACUUCAAAGUCUUGAAGCGAAUAUUUCUACGAUAUAUCAAAGGUACAAUAGAUCUUGGCUUAUUAUAUGGUUAUUGUAAUAGCUUUAAUCUUGUGGAUUAUAAUAAUAGUGAUUGAGUUAAAGAUAUAAAUGAUAUGGAUUAUAAUAAUAGUGAUUGAGUUACAGAUAUGGAUAAUAAAAAGAUCAUUACAGGUUUUGUUUUAAGGAAUUAACGAGUUGCACUCAUUGUAUAAUCAACAUACAUAUUUACUUAUCAUAUAUGUAUAUUAAUUAUUAUUCCCUCACUGAGUUGAUUGAACUCACCCCUCAUUCUUAAUAUUAUUUCAGGUUCUUAGUUUCUGAUAGCAGGUGAACCUUGUUGAGUGUUCCUACUUCUUCAGUUUUGGGUCAGUAUGCCUUGCUUAUCUUUCAAGGCUGUUUGAUUCGAUGUCUUGGGCGCUCCACUAUUACCUUGUUUUAAUUAAGUUUGGAUUUUGACAAUGUAAUGAGUAUUAUGGAUUAUUGUUUUUAUUUUAAUUACUGAUGAAGAGUUUUAAACUAUCUUUUGGUUUCAUCAGUUUUGAAUAAUAUAAGAUUUCUGAAGAUUAUGAAAUGCUGCGUAUUUUUGAAUAAAUUAUUCUUUUGAUAUGUCCGUUUUGAGGCUUAGCGCGGGCGGGGUGUCCUUCCGGCACCGCUCCUGCGUUGCCGGUCAUGGACCCGGGAUUCGGGUCGUGACAAAGGUGGUAUCAAACAUGAAAGAAACAACUUUCACAUGAAAUUCAAAGAAUCAAUCUAUUAUCACAUUAUCUACUUGUGAAGCUGUAUAUGUAGCUAUUAUAGCAUGUGUUUAUCAUUUCAUAUAGCUAAGAAGAUUAUUGAAGAAGUUACGAAUGCCACAAAAAAAAACCUACAAAGAUUUAUAUGAACAACUCAUCAGUCAUUGCAUUAGCUAAAAAUCCAGUUUUUCAUGACAGAAGUAAGCACAUUGACACAACAUUUUAUUAUUUAAGAUAAUGCUGUGGAAAUAAGAAAGUUAAAGUCAAGUAUGUGAAGACUCAAGACAAAGUCAUAAAUAUUUUCACAAAGUCACUCAAAUAUGAUAUUUUUACAAAGAUGAGAGAUAUGUUGAGAGUUAUGAAUAAUAAUGACAGUUAAUAUUGAAAGGGAGUGUUGAAGUUCAAUAUCAAUUAGGAUUUAGGCUAAUAUAAUUUAGAGUUUGUAAGAGUUUUAAUAUUGUUAGAACUUCACAAUAUUAAAGUUAUUAUCUAUUAGCGUUUUAUUAUUAUUAGAUAAAAAAUCUAGUUAAAGGAGGAAUCCUAGUUAAUGUAAGAAUCCUUGAUGAAAAAUGAUUUAUAAUAUACUAGUUUAUUAGAAUUUUUAUUUAAUAAGAAUGUUAGAUUUCUUAUUAAAUUUUAAUUUUUUUAAAAAAAAUUUAAUUUCUUGAUUAUCUAGAACUUGAGUUCUAUAAAUAGAAUUAUAAUCAAAAGAAUAAUUCACAAGAAUAGCUAGAGAGACACAAAAAAGAGCUAAAAAGAUAUAUUUUUUGAGAAAACUUUUCAUAAAAAAUAUUAUUUUUCUUGUUAUUUACCUUUGUUCUUGUAUUUAUUCUCGUAAAUUAGUUGCCGAGUCUAUCCUUCUCUUCCAACUUCCAACUUCCAACGUCGUCAUUAUUAUGGUCUUUCUGAACUGGAAGUUCGUGUGCGUGUCUUUUGGAAGUAGACGUAGUGACCACAUUUUCUUUCGUCCAUGGAAGUUAGCUGACGUAGUGUUUGAUAUAUACUUGCUUGAAAAUCAGCUUCCAUUCUUCAUCCUCGAGAAGUUGUUUGAGAUAUCCAGUGUUGCUGCCAAUCCUGGGAAUUGUACCAUUAUCAAGCUUACCUGCGGCUUCUUACUAUGGAGUUGGGUUGACUGGGUAAAAGAGGACAGUUGGGAAAUAAUCAAUUCUUCUGGAGUCCUAGAUUUUGUUGACUUCUUAAGAAAGUGUCUGCAACCAACAGAGCAGCACAGUCUAGCGGAAGAAGAAGCUUAUUUAAGCGCACCCACUGCAACGGAGCUCCAUCAAUCUGGUUUGAAGUUUAAGCGUCCCGAAGAAAGCUCAUCAUUAGACAUAAGAUUCAGUAAUGGGAUUCUAGAAAUUCCACAACUAAAAAAAUUAUAUGAUCAGACAGAAAUCUUAUUCAGAAAUCUCCAGGCCUUUGAGCAAUGCCAUUAUAGUUUUUUUUAUUAAGAAAUAUUGUAUUAAAAUAUUAUUUUUUUUAUUUUUUAAAAAUUAUUUUUAUAUUAACAUAUGAAAAUACAUAAAAAAAAUUAAUUUAAAAUUAAUUUUUUUAAUACAUUUUUUAAUGAAAUAAUAUUUUAAGAACUGAAUUCACAUUGCAUAAAGCCUUGGCACAAGUGGAAGGCAACCUAGAAGCAGGUUUAUUUCAACAAUCCAUUGACUGACAUCUCUGUUUGUGGAAUCAAAGUUGAAAAGUGCUACAUUUUCCUGUGAUGUGAUAUUGAUUAAGAGAUUUGUAGAAUAAGACGUGGUGCAGAACUGUAGAAGAUAAGGUACAAGACUAGGAAAGUCCUCAGGAAAACUGUAGAAUUGCACAGUUUGAGUGAGAAGUGAGAGGUGGUCCCCUUUUAUCAGAUAAAUAACAGAGGGCCAAUCAUUCAGGAAAAAAAAAACAUAAAAAGAAUUGGAAAUGGUUUGUUGGUAUAUUGAAAUAGAAAAUUGUAGAAUCAUUAUUUAUUGAUUCAGCUAAUUGAUGGAUCGAUAAAAAAAAUAAAAUGCUUUAUAAAUAUAUGCUUAUGAAUACAAAUCAUUUGAUUGAGAUUGUUUCAUAAUCCCUGAAAUAUAUAUAUAGUUUGAUUGGAGCACUGGUGAUUGUUGAAAGAUUUAUGAUAUUAAAACUUGAUUAUUAUUUUAUAGAACUAUUUAAGGUAAAAAUAUUUUUAUGAAUAAAUGAAAUUUAUAGUUUGAUUUGUAAAAUAUUUUACAUCCUAUACAGUAUUUUACAUAUAAUUAAUAAACAUCCUUUAAUAAAAAAAUAAUAUUGUAAAAUUUUAUCUAAAAAAGGCUUAGAAAGGUUUAAUCAAAAAAUUAAUAAAGUAAAACUUUCACAAAACUUUUAAACAAGUUUUGCAUUAAAAUCGGAUCUUUUUGUUUUGGGGCCAUCCCAUACCACUAUCCAAAAUAUAUAUAUGUCUCAAAUCCAAAAUCUUUCUAAAACAUUAUUAUCACGAGAGCUUUCAUGAAUUAAUUAUAUAUUUUGGUGAAGACUCAUGUCAUUAAAGUCAGGUAGCAUCCCCUCCACGUCAGGUGAAUAUAAAUAAGACAACAAAAGAGAAGGGACAGCUUGAAAACCUAAGGCUGUUUAUUCAUGGAAAUUCUAGUGUGAAAUCGACAGAGAUAGGGCACGUGAAUGAUGAAUAUACGAAUCCAGUUAUUCAAUUGAAUCACAUGCGACCAUGCAUGCCCCCCCACAUGGAUGGAUGGAUUUAUAUAUUCAUGAUAAUCAAAAGAAUGGUUAAGACUAUAUUCUUUAAAUAUGCUAAAAAGUAGUUAAUCCCAUUAGCUUACCGAUCAACGGCUCAAAUCCCAUUCACUGUCUCCUUCCUUCCUCCUUCACCUCUCCCCUUGCCCUAUAAAAAUCGCCAGAACCUCCCAUCCCUACCCACCAAAAACUUUCGUAAUUGAAUUUGUUUUCUCUGUGAUAACAAUUUUUUUGAUCUGCUGGUUUUGUUCUAAUACUAGCUAUCAUCUCAGUUCUGUCACAGGAUGGAAACUGUUGGAACAUCAAGCACUGAUGAUGAGCCGAGUCGACAUCAAGUUUCGCUAGAUAUCGAGACAUUAGCCAAAUCUGUGAAGGCCGAGCUGGAAAUCUCAUAUGCUUUCUCCGACACAUGUUGUAUAUAUAAAGUUCCGGAGCAAUUGCGCGAGGUGAACGAAAAGGCCUACACACCUCGAUUGGUCUCCAUAGGCCCAAUUCACCAUGCUAAAGAGAAGCUAAAAGCCAUGGAAGACCACAAAAGAAUGUAUCUGAAAGAAUUCCUUGCCCGGAGCGAGGUAAGUGUAGAGGGUUUUAUUGAAUUUAUUAAGGAGAACGAAACAAGAUUGCGUAAUUGCUAUGCGGAAACCAUUGAGUUUAAUAGCGAAUACUUCAUAAAAAUGAUAUUAAUGGAUGCUGCCUUCGUCAUUAUGUUUUUGCUGAAGUGCAAAAACAAAGACUUCAGCGGUAGCAGAGACAGCAUUUUCUAUCCUCCACACAAGAGUGUAGAUGUAAGGGUUGAUAUCUGUUUGCUUGAAAAUCAGCUCCCGUUCUUCAUCCUCGAGGAGUUGUGUGGACUAUCCACUAUACUCGGCAAUUCUCCGAAACCUACACUGAUUGAGCUUACUCAUGGGUUCUUUUCAAAAGAAUGGGGUUCAUGGGCAGUAGGGGAAUAUUGGGGGAAAAUAGAUUUCUCCGAAGUGAAACAUUUGGUUGACUUUCUUACAAUUUAUCAACAGCCACCUCAACAGCAGCAGAAUGAGGAACUUGAGGUUCUAACCGCACCCAGUGUAAAGGAGCUCCACCAAGCGGGGGUCAAGUUUGUGUUGAGUUCAAGCAAAAAUCUUCUUGACAUAAAAUUCGAUAGAAAUAAAGGGAGACUGGAAAUUCCACGAUUACAGUUAGAUGACAGUACAGAAAUCAUAAUCAGGAAUAUGCAAGCCUUUGAGCAGUGCCAUGGCCUGUAUGGUUAUGUUGGUGACUAUAUCUUCUUGAUGGGUCUCUUUGUCAGUGCCAGUAAGGAUGUGGAAAUGCUUGUUGAAAAUCGUAUUAUAGAAAACUGGCUACCGUCUAAUGAGGAAGUGGUACAACUCUUUUACAAUCUCAACAAACAAAAUAGUGUGCGGGGACGUUUUUUUCUCUUCAAAGGUCUCAUUAAAGAUCUGAAUGCAUUCUGCGAAAAGCCAUGGAACAAGUGGAAGGCAAAUUUAAAGCAAAAUUAUUUCAAUACCCCAUGGGCAGCAAUCUCUGUCUCAGGAGCUGUUAUUCUUCUCAUUCUGACUGUCCUACAGUCCGUCUGCUCUAUACUCCAAGUAGGUUAGCUUCUGCAAUUUCAAUUCUUUCAUACCGCAUGUUGCAUUAAUUGUACCCAUAAUCCUUGUUCUCUUACUUGAGGUACUUUUCUUCUAAUAAAUGACAAAGUUGUUCCAAGCAAUGAAGACUGUAUAAUUUGUUCUGAUUGUCUCUUAGAAACUGAAAUUGUUUUAUUCUAUGCCUUCCACGCGCAUGCUUAACAUGGGGUUUAAGGUCGCAGCGGCUGCUUUCUUUCAUCUUAGAUUAUUGAUAAAGGAAGAAAGCAUAACUCCUUAGGUCGGUUUGGAUCUGGUUGCGGUUACUUUUUAAAUUGUUUUUCAUGCUAAAAUGUAUUAAAAUAAUAUUUAUUUAUUUUUUAAAAUUUAUUUUUGAGAUCAGCACAUCAAAUCAAAACGAUCCAAAAUAUAUAUAUAUAAAAUAUUUUUUAAGAAAAAAAAUUAAAAUUUUUAGAAAUGCUGAUUGGCCCACAUUUUCAAACGUUAUUUUAAUCAUCAUGCCAACACACCUUGAUAUUUUUUAAAUUGUUUUUCAUGUUAAAGUAUAUUAAAAUAAUGUUUAUUUAUUUUUUAAAAAUUAUUUUUGAGAUCAGCGUAUCAAAAUUAUCCAAUAUAUAUAAAAAAAUAAUAAUUUUUAACAAAAAAAUUGAAUUUUUUAGAAACGCUAAUUAACCCCAUUUCCAAACGCUUUUUUAAUCAUCAUGCCAACACACCUUGAGAUUAUUGUUUACAUUACCAUAAAGUUAGAUUCACAACCGACAAUUAGGGUGGAAAAUAAAGUCACAUAAGACGGAUUUCAAAAUCAAGCCCUCUAGGGUAAUUUUUGUUAAGAAAUAUAUUUAUUUUAUUUAUUUAUUAAAAGUAAAACAAUAUUUUUAAUUUAUUUUAUAUAUAAUCUUGUAGUAUUAAGGUUAAAAACAUAACUUCAAAAAAAAAAUGAUCAAUGAAACCCUAACCCUCUUCUCUCUUAUGUUCGUAUUUCUCUUUGUUUGAAACAAGUUGCUUAAUAUGGUAUUAGAGCAUGGUUUUAUGGAACGAAACUUAAUCUCAAACACAACUUUCAUGAAUUUUUUGGAGUGAUAUUUGUUCAAUUUCUGCAAUCAGUUUUUGCAAAUAUGGUAUUUUAUCUUCUCUUUAGUUUCUACAAUUUAGUAUUUGCAUUCCAUUUCUGCAAUUUUUUUGGGAAUGAUCAUAUAACUUCGAGAAGAUAUUUAUUCAGUUUUUGCGAUAUUUGUUCAGUUUCUGCAAUCUAGUAUUUUGUUUUUUGCUUCUUUUACAUUCUGGUUUUUUUCUAUUUGUUAAUUAUGGCUACUGAAAGAAAUAAUCUGCUUCAGUCUGUGAGUGUGAGGUUAGAUGAAAAGAACUAUUUAUAUUAGAGUUAUGUAAUGAGAAAUUUUCUUAAGGAUAAAAAGAUAUGGAGAUAUGUUAAUGAAACUUAUGUUAUAUCUAAGAAUACUGAUUAAAGGUAUGCUAUUUUGAUAAAUGCAUGGGAAGCAAACAAUGCAAAGAUUAUUACUUGAAUUAAUAAUUUUGUUGAGCAUUUUAUAGGUACGUAGUUAUCAAAAUAUGAGACAACAAAAGAGGUUUGAGAUUAUUUACAAAUGUUAUUCACACAAUCAAAUUUAUCAAAGCAAUAUCAAUUAGUAACAUUGAUACAAGUCAUAUCAUUUUGUCUUUAUAUGUUGAUAACAUAAUUAUUAUUGGUGAUGACAUUGAUGAUAUUUUAGUUUUGAAGAUAAAGUUGGUUAGACAGUUUGAAAUGAAGGAUUUAAGCUAUCUUCAAUAUUUCAUGGGUAUUGAGGUAGCUCGCUCACUCAGAUGUUACUUUUUUUCUCAAUAAAAAAAUAUUGCAGAUAUCCUUGAGCGAGCUAAACUUACUAACAAUAAGACUAUAAAUACUCUCAUUGAGGUUAAUGCAAUAUAUUCCUUUUCGAAUGGUUUACAUUUGUUAGAUCCUACUUUAUAACAUACUAUUGGUGGGAGCUUGGUAAAUCUAAUUAUUACUUGUCCAAAUAUUGCAUAUGUUGUUCAUGUUGUUAGUCAGUUUGUUGCUUGUUCUACUACCAUUCAAGAGCUUAGUUGGGAGUUUUAGAUAUUUGACAUGCAGUCGUUUGUAUAUUCUUUAUAGAAUAGAACUUGUGAGUAGGUUUAUAAAAAUAUCAACUCUACUCAAUUUUUAAUUCAUGUUUUUGAUAAAUUUUCAGAAAAAAAUUAAAAAUAAUAAAAAACAAUAAAAACCUAAAAAAUACAUUUUUGAUAUCUUUGUAUUAUUUUUAUCAUUUUCAGUAUUAUCUUUAAAAAAUUUAAAUUUUAAAAGUUUUUUAAAUACAUUCAAAUUUUAAUAUAUUAUUUUUAAAAUUAUUAAUUUUUCUUGUAGAAUUUUAAUGUUAAAUCAAUGUUGAUGUAGCGUUAUCAGAAAAUAAAAAUAUAAAUAUUUUACCAAGCAUUUGAAAUAAAUAAUAUUUUUACUAUAAUAGUUAAUAAUAUUUUACCAAGCCGCCGCCGCCGCCCUCUCUUCCUUGGUUUUACUCCCAGAACCAUAGCCCCUCACUCUCUUCCCCAGUCGCCAUUUCCAGCACCGAAAACCAGCCACUCUCCUUUCUCCCCCCAGCCACCAGCCACACCCAGAGCCCACAUUUCCUCCCUCACAGAUCCACCCUCACUCUCCCUUCUUCCCGGCCACUGCACCUCCCUUCAUCUCUAGCAAAACCACCUCCACCCUCACUCCAGCCGCCCACUAACAGGAGACCAGACCUUCCCCCAUCUCUGCUACCUCUAUUUCCUCUCCCUCUCUCAGCCAUGUUAGAGAAUAAUAUAAAUCAUAUCCUGGGACCUCACCUAACAGUUUAAGCUUUUGGGUUGAGAUCGUUCUUUGACAUGGUAUCAGAGCCUUGAUGACCAAGCGGUCACGAGUUCGAAUCUCACCAUCCUCAUUUAUUUGAUAAAAAUUAAGCACAAGGUAAUGUGGGCCUGUGCAAGUUUCAAGCCCAAAGGGCUUUCACUUGAGGGGGUGUGUUAGAGAAUAAUAUAAAUCAUAUCCUGGGACCUCACCUAACAGUUUAAGCUAUUGGGUUGAAUUGGUUCUUUGACAAGCCACGACCAAAAAAAUCUCACCGGCAGCUCAACCAUUCUUCCCCCCACCGCGACCCGACUCAGCAAAAACCUAGUCAUGCCAGCGGCCUCUUGGUCUUACCGCCGGCAACCUGAAACAGAGAAGAAGAAGGCGAAACCAAAAGAAAAAAAAAUUUGUAGGGAGAGAAGCAGAUCCAUAAACGAGAAGGAAAGGAAACCAAAACUUGUGUUGCGUCUUUUCUUUUGCAUGUCUCCAUCGGUGACACCGCCGGCACAAGAAAGGAAUAAAGGAGGAGAUCUAUCCGAUCCCCUCAUUUUUCACAUCACCGGCGACGGAUAAAAAAAAUUAAAUGUUACUUUAUAUUUUUUAAAUUUUAAAUUAUUAGAGAAGGUUAUAAAAAAUAAAUUAUAUUAUUUUUUAAUACAUUCUCUCAAGUAAAAACCCUUUAAAUUUAAAAUUUAUAUAUAUUCAUGUUACUUUAUAUUUAAUUUAAAAUUUAAUUCAAUUAAACCUUUAAUAAAAUUUAAUUAAGUUCAUAAACAUCUGAUUUUAGAUUUUUCUUCUUUAAAUUAAAUUUUUUUGUCAAUAAAACUCUUAUCAGUAAAAAAUAUACUGUCAAAUUUCAAUCCUUGUAUUUUUGAACCUCCUUGAUCAAUUUCUAGCUAUUUUCUGGGCACUCCGAUAUUCUUUUCUUGUUGCUAUUAUUUUUUUGGAUUUUUUUUAAUAGUUUUUAUUUAUUUGUUUAAUUUUUUUAUUUUUGUGUGGAGACUGAAAAUAAAUAACAACAACUUUUAUACAAGUCUUACAUGAAAUUUUUCAGGUUUCUAGCUUCUCUUUAGUAAUGGAGACCCUAGCUAUGUUUUACAUGGGAAUUCUGGUCUGAAAUCGACAUAGAUAGGGCAGAUGAAUAUCCGAGUCCAAUUAUUCACAUUGCUUUAAGAAACUCUUUUUAAAACAUCAUUAUCACGACAGUUUUCAUGAAUUAAAUAUGUAUUUUGAUAAUGAAUUAUUUUCAAAUAACUAAUUUAAUUUAAAAUUUAAAAUUAUCAUAUAAAAAUAUAAAUUAUAAAUUAUAUAUUUUUUUAAUACUCUUUCAAAUAAAAAUCUUUUAAAUUUUAAAAUUGUAUAUGUUUAACUUAUUUUAUACUUAAUUUUUAUUAAAUAAAUAAAAAUAUUAAUAUUUAAACUCGUGAUUAUUAGAUCAUUAAAACUUUAAUAUUAUAUAAAAAAAUUAAUUUAAUUCAAAAAUUUAAAUUAUUAAAUAAAAUAUAAUUUAUAAUUUAUAAUUUAUAUUAUUGUACAACCAGUUAAAGUCGCUGCAUUUCCCCCAGUUACUGUUGCCUUUUAAUUGCUAUCUACGUGGAAUGAAAGCUGGAGAGUGCUCCAUUUUCAAGUGGUGCAGAACUGUAGAAGAUAAGGUACAAGACUAGAAAAGUCUUCAGGAAAACUGUAGAAUUGCACAGUUUGAGUGAGAAGUGAGAGGUGGUCCCCUUUUCAGGAGAAAUAAAAGAGGUGGUCCCCUUUUAUCAGAUAAAUAAUUAAUAGAGGUGGUCCCCUUUUAUCAGAUAAAUAAUAUAGGGUGGCCAAUCAUUCAAAGAAAAAACAUAGAAAGUAUUGGAAAUGGUUUAUUGGUAUAUUGAAAUAAAAAAUUGUAGAAUCAUUAUUUAUUGAUUCAGCUAAUUGAUGGACCGAUAAAAAAAUAAAAUGUUUUAUAAAUAUAUGCUUAUGAAUACAAAUGAUUUUUAUUGAGAUUGUCCCAUAAUUAAUCCAUGAAAUAUAUAUACUUGAUUAUUUUUUUAAAAAAAUAUUUUAUAGAACUAUUUAAGGUACAAAUAUUUUUAUGAAUAAAUGAAAUUUAUAGUUUGAUUUGUAAAAUAUUUUACAUCCUAUACAGUAUUUUACAUAUAAUAAACAUCCUUUAAUAAAAAAAAAAAAUAUCUAAAAAGGGCUUAGAAAGGUUUAAUCAAGAAAUUAAUAUAGUAAAACUUUCACAUAACUUUUAAACAAGUUUUGCAUUAAAAUUGUAUCUCAUACAAAAUAUGUCUAUGUCUCAAAUCCAAAAUCUUUCUAAAGCAUUAUUAUCACGAGAGCUUUUAUGAAUUAAUUAUAUAUUUUGUUGAAGACUCAUGUCAUUAAAGUCAGGUAGCAUCCCCUCCACGUCAGGUGAAUAUAAAUAAGACAACAAAAGAGAAGGGACAGCUUGAAAACCUAAGGCUGUUUAUUCAUGGAAAUUCUAGUGUGAAAUCGACAGAGAUAGGGCACGUGAAUGAUGAAUAUACGAAUCCAGUUAUUCAAUUGAAUCACAUGCGACCAUGCAUGCCCCCCCACAUGGAUGGAUGGAUUUAUUAAGUAAUAUUCUAAAAGGUGCUGGGAAAUCACUGAGCUUUCCUCCUAUUAAUAUAUAUUUAUAUUAUUAUAAUUAUUAUAUUAUAAUUAUAUUAUAGAACUGUCUUUUCUUUUUUUUGUUUUUAUUUUUUUUUGUUUUUUUUCAAUGAUUUUUUUUUAUUUAAUUUAGUUUGGUAAUGUUAAUUUUUUUUAUUUAGUUAUCAGACUUUCAUGAUACGGAUCCCGGGUUUGAUAGGUUAACCUGAUUUGACGAGUUAACCCGGAUUUUUUUUUCUUUUUGAUUAGUUUCUUUCGUUUAGUUUAGUUUGUUAAUGUUAAAAUUUUUUUCUAUUUAAUUAUUAGACUUUCGUGACAUGUAUCUUAGGUUUGACAGGUUAACUUGGUUUGAUGAGUUAACCUAGUUAAUUCCGGGUAAACCCGUCAAUUUUUUUUAAAACUUUAGUUAUCAAACUUUCAUGACGCGAAUCCCAAGUUUGACGGGUUAACCUGGUUUGAAGGGUUAACCCAGUUAAUUCAAUUUUUUUUCUUUUUCUUCAUUAGUUUUUUUUCUUCCUAUUGGUUUUUUUUCUUUGUUUUUUUCUUUUUAAUUAAUCUAUUUAAUUAUCACACUUUUAUGACACCACCUUAUAGCCAGACCUACAUUCAAUGCUCUUGGGUCUGGUGUUGCAGCUAGGCUCAUUUAAACUUAAGUCAUGUAAGUUUAAUAUUAUUAUUAAUAUUAUAAAUAUUAUUCUUGGGUUAAGCGUUACAACUAGACCUAAGGCUUUUGAGUAUAUCUUUGCAGAAAGACCUAACACUCUUAGAUCUUAGCUUUUUUUUGUUAUUUUUUAUGCAAGAAAAAAAUUAACCGGUGGCGUAUGACUUUGUUUUUUUUUGCCUUUUUCUUUUCCUUUCUAAGCCUUUUACUGUGAACUGCACGGUGCAGUCCACAGUGAAAAAGUUUAUGUCUUUAGUUUUUUUUUUCUAUAGUUUCUUAAUAUUAAUUUUUUUUGUUUAAUUAUUAGACUUUCAUGACACGGCUCCCAGGUUUGAUGGUUUAACCCAGUUGAUUCAUAUUUUUUUUCUUUUUCUUCAAUAGUUUUUUUCUCUUUGCUUUUUUCUUUUUAAUUAAUCUUUUUUUUUAAUUUAGUUCAUUAAUAUUAAAUAUUUUUUCUAUUUAGUUAUCACACUUUCAUGACACGAAUCACAGGUUUGACGGGUUAACCUGAUUUGGCGAGUUAACUUAGCUGAUUUAGAUUUUUUUUUCUAUUUUCUCAUUAAUUUUUUUCUUCCGAUUUCAUCUUUUAAUAUUGUAUGCAAUCCACAGUGAAAAGGAUGAUGCCUUUAGUUUUUUUUUUUUGCUUUUUUUUCUUUUUAUGCCUUUCACGGUGGACUGCAUAGUGCAGUCCACGGUGAAAAGGCUGAUACCUUUUUUUUUAAUUAAUUUUAUUUAUUUAGUUUGUUGAUAUUAAAUGUUUUUCUAUUUAGUUAUCAAACUUUCAUGACACGGAUCUUAGGUUUGACGGGUUAACCCAGUUAAUUUAGAUUAUUUUAUCUUUUUCUUCAUUAGUUUUUUUCUUCUUAUAAGUUUUUUUUCCUGUUAUUUUUUCUUUUGAAUUAAUAUUUUUUUAUUUAAUUUAGUUCAUUAAUAUGAUUUUUUUUCUAUUUAGUUAUUGGUUGAUGCCUUUUUUCUAUUUAGUUAUCUUAGGUUUGGCUAAUUGAAGAAUUUUUUUUUUGUUUUCAUGCCUUUAAUUGUGGAUUGCACAGUGUAAUUCACAGUGAAAAGGCUGAUGCCUUUUGCUUGUCUUGGUUUUUUUCCUUUUUAAGUAAUUUUUUUCAUUUAAUUUAGUUUGUUAAUGUUCAUUUUUUUUCUAUUCAGUUAUCAAACUUUCAUAACACAGAUUCCGGGUUUGACGGGUUAGCCCAAUUAAUUCUGGGUAAACCGUCAAUUUUUUUUUCUAUUUAGUUAUCAAACUUUCACUACACGAAUUCAAGGUUUGACGAGUUAACCUGCUUUGAAGGGUUAACCCAAUUAAUUCAGAAUUUUUUUCUUUUUCUUCAUUAGUUUUUUUUCUUUCUGUUGGUUUUUUUUUCUAUUUAAUUAAUCUAUUUAAUUAUCACACUUUUAUGACACGACCUUGUAGCCAGACCUACAUCUAAGACUAUUGGAUCUAGUAUUGCAACCAAACUCAAGACGGAGAUAGCCCAAGAUUUCAAGAAGAGCACUGAGCUGUUGAUAAGGAAGCUUCCAUUUCAAAGGCUGGUGAGGGAGAUAGCCCAAGAUUUCAAGACGGAUUUGAGGUUCCAAAGCAGCGCAGUGGCUGCCCUUCAGGAGGCGGCAGAGGCAUAUCUUGUAGGGUUGUUUGAGGAUACCAACUUGUGUGCUAUUCAUGCUAAGAGGGUAACUAUUAUGCCUAAGGAUAUCCAAUUGGCCCGAAGGAUUAGAGGAGAGAGGGCUUAAUUGUAAAACUUUCCCAGAUUAAAUGAGAAAUUGCAUUGCUUUAUUUGGAUUCUACUUGAUGAUUUGUCUUUAAAUCUCUGUCUAAUCAAUCUUGUUCCCAAAUGGAAAUGAUAGAGAAUCUUAUGCAUUGUAUUGAUCAUGCUCCAUGGUUCAUAGAGACCUAACUGCCCAAAACCCUUAAUUUUAAGGACUAAAAUGUAAUACAAGAACAUGAAAAUAUUAUACGAAAAAGAUUUGGCUAAACAAUAUUAUCGAACAUUUAUAUAUAAACAUCUAACAACCCUAGCUGUAUGUUAUGGCGUGAAUCUCUGGCAACGAUACUGCAAUGGAGGAACUGGACAAACUUUAUCACUCGAGCAUUGUACGUAUUGAUGGUAUAUUAUAGAAGAAGAAGAUCAUGCUAUCCCUAGGCCUCACCUUAGAUUAAAAUAUGCUGUAGCAAUACGUGACGGAUUCUUCAGAUUAUUUAGGGACCAAGCAUUAGGUGUUUAAUUAGUGGAAGAAAACACAAGCAAAUUUGUCUGGAUAUUAUUUUCAAAAUCUUAAAUUAGUUUUAUAGAAAAAACUUAUAAUAUUGACAAGUUUUAGAGUUUUCAUUGCAUGAGUAUGGGCCUUGAGUCUGGGGUUGAUUGACAGGCUUUGGCAAAGCUCAUUAAUGGGCUGGGUUGCCCAGGGAAAUUAGUCCAAGAAAUCUCUCCCUAGUCCCUCCUCUCCGCAAAAGCUAGAGAAUUUUCAAGGUCUCUCUCUAAUCUUGAAGACAGUCUCUUCACCAUCCUACUCAGCCGCCCCCUGUUAAGCAGCAACUCACAAAGAGGUAUCCUACUGCACCUAAAUUCUCUCCUUAGAUGAAACGAUUGAUUUGAAUUUCUUUGAUGUUUUGAUUUGUCAAGAUUAAACAAUAUUUUUAUUAAUAAAAUUAAAUAGGUUUACAUGAUUAAAAUUAAAAUAUUAUUUUACAUUAAAUCAAUUAAAUACAUCAAAUAUAUGUUUCGUUUCUUUACCUACACCAAAUAUUCUUCAAAAAAAUAAAAUAUUAAAUAUUUUAAAAAGAUAAAUUCUUAAAAAAAUAUUUCUUAACAGUUCAUGAUCAAAACCAUAAAACACCGCAGGUCAAUAACACUAGUUAGAAUGAUAAUAUUUUAUUUAUCUUAUAUAAAAAACUUUGAGAAAUCAUUAUUCAAAAGCCACUUUAUGCAUACAUGUGCUUCAAAAAUAUGUUUUAUAAAAUUUCAAAAAUGUCAUUAUUCAUGUUGCUAUUCAAUUUUUAAUCCAUAUUUUUAAUAAAUUUUCAAAAAAAAUCAAAAAAUAGCAAAAAAAAAAAAAAUUCAAAAAAUAUAUUUUUGAUAUAUUUACAUCGUUUUUAGCAUUUUCAACGCUAUCUCAAAAGAAUUUAAAUUUUUAAAGGUAUUUUGAACGCGUUCAAUUUUUAAAGCGUAAAUUUUAUGAUCACUGAUUUUCCUUGUUGAGUUGACGUUGAUAUUGCUCGCUUUAAAAAAUACAAAAAAGUAAGAAAAAUUAAAAUUUACAAAAAAAAAAGAAAGGAAAAGUAAAAGUUGAGGGACUAGUUUGAAAACCUAACGAACUUUAUGUAUAAAUACUAAGCUACAGUGAAAAACUGAGGGGGGAGAAAAAUUUACAGGGACGGGGGCGGAGAAAAUUUAGGGGGGGAAACAAAAGGGGAAAAACCUAAACCUAGAAAAAAAACCAUCUCCCUCAAGCGGCCGCCACGCCCAUCUCCAUCUUCCCUGAGAACAAAGUGACCUGGCCGCCACUUUUCCCCCACUUUUGCUUUGAAAGCAAACCAGAGAAACCCCACACAAAUAGAUAGAAGGCGCCGCUCACCUUCUGACCCGAGCCUUCACCCGAUUUCCCUCUGCUGGUCAUCAACACAGUGACGGCCGCCCCCUCCCUUUGAAGAUAAAAAACCAGAGUUCUCUUCCUCGGGGCUCUCCCAAAAAACCAAAAAAGCUCCCUCCCUUUUCCUUUCUCCAGCCGCCACUAACCCUCCCCUUUGGCCUGCGAUUUUUGCUCCUGAAACAGCCCCCCUUGCCUUGACAAAGCAAGCCAGAGAGAGCCCCUCUGCUAAAAAGAAAAAGCACUGGCCGUCCCUCUCCUGUUCUUCCUCUCGACUGAACCGAGAGCCCUCAGCCACCGGGCAACAGUCGACCCAUCGACCUCCCUCGCCCGGCUGACGCCACAGACGCCCGGCCAAGACUGCUCCUCUGCGCACCACAGAGCAGCCUCAUCUUCCCCGACCAGAGAACGGGCAGGGCCGUUCCCCAUCUCCUCAGACCCACGGCUCCCGCUUCAGCCAGCAGGUCUUUCCUUCCUCAGCCGCCGAACAGCCUCCAGCGGCAGCAACAACCCAGCAGCGCCCACAGACCGGCAGCCCUUGGUCAUGCCACCGGCACCUGAAACAGAAGAAGAGGAAACAAAAAAACUUGCAGAGAUGCAGCAGAUCUGAACAAGGAGAAGGAAGAGAAGCCGAUUUGAAAACAAAGAAAGAAAACUAAAACAGACUGCUUUGUUGCGAUGUUUGUUGUUUUGCAGGUAACGGCGUUGCUCACCGCCAGCAAGGAAAGGAAGAGGGGAGGGGGUUGUUACAGACCCCCCUGUUUGUUUGGAGUUUACGGUACUGUUCAGGAUUUUAGUUCAGGACUUCUUUUUUUGUAAAAUUUAAAUUGUUUAAUGUGUUAUUUGGGUUGUUUUGAACAUUUGAUUAUUUUGUAAUAUUUAGUUAUGGGUGUGUGUGAGUAUAUUACAGUAAAAAUCAGUGAUAUGUGUGUGUAGUUUUUAUUUUUGUUAUUGAAUUAUAAAAAUAAAAAAUACAAAAAGAAUUAAGUGUUUAAUUUAAAUAUAGUUAAAUAUCUCAAGGACAAAUAAAAUUAUGUUGUAUUUUCUGGAAAAUGUAAGAACAUGUUUCUACAUUUAUUAUGGGAUUUAAUAACUGAUUUAUUAAAACUUUAGAAUUUAGCUAAUAUUUUUUAAAUCAUAUCAAAUCAUGAAGCAGUUUAUUUCAGAUAGGGUGGGUGUUUAUAUCUUUUUUAGCUACAACCAAUUCUUUACCCUCGGAUAUACGAUGAUGACUAGUAAAUCUGGAUUUUCUAAUAACCUUUAAUUCAAUAGUAGAGAUUGACUCCAAAUAAAAAUGUGAGUGAUGUGCGACAAUUCAAAAGCAACUUUAUCCAUACAUGUGCUUCACAAAAAUUUUCCUUUUAUUUUCUAUUUCGUUCCUCGUAAUAUUUCCUUUCUUUCUUUUUAAUAACAUCAUCAAAUUUCAUUAAGCUCAAUGAAUUGAACAUAUCAUCAUAGACUGUAUCCAGUACAAACUAGGAAUAUAUUUUUGUUAAUCUAUCUUAUAUAUAUCCUUGAUAUUUCAGUGCAUGGAAAUUGAACAAAUCAUGUAGCUUUGAAUUUUUCCCACCAUUGAAGAAGGGCAUGGAAAUUCUAGUGUGAAAUCGACAGAGAUAGGACAGAUGAAUGAUGAAUAUACGAAUCCAAUGAUUCAAUUGUAUCACAUGCGACCAUGCCCCACAUGCAUGGAAGGAUUUAUAUAUUCAUAAAAGUAGUCAAACGAAUGAUUAAGAUGAGCUUAUUAUAGUCUUUAAAUAUGCUAAAAAGUAGUUAAUAUUACUUUCACCUUUCCCCUCUUCGGAUUACAUUUAUAGUUUUCCAUUAGCUUACCGAUCUACGGCUCAAAUCCCAUUUCACUGUCUCCUUCCUUCCUCCUUCACCUCUCCCCUUGCCCCUACAAAAAUCGCCGGAACCUCCUAUCCCUACCCACCAAAAACUUUCAAAUCUCUAGCUUUCCCUCGUUUUCUCGAGAAACAAACAGAAACCCGAAACCCCAAUUUCCCAAUUCAUUUAUUUCAAGGGCACAAAGUAAACAGCAAGAAAAUCCACCGGAGGGAAAGCCCUAAGGAACAACUGGCCACGAAGGCAGCCAGGAAAACAUCUCUUUGGACACGAGCUAAACUUCUAAAACUGCGGUUGUUGAGAGCUUGUAAGUAGUUUAAGUUUCUGUCCAUUUGGCUUUUUAUGACAGGCAUCAUGUUUUUUUUAAUUCAAAAUAAUACUACAUGAAAAAUAAUCCUCUUAAGAGAAAUUAUCAAAAUUAUUUGCACAUUUCAUUAUCAUAUUUUUUUUAAUGAUAAAAUAUCAAUUUUUUCUAAACACAAAUAUACAACUUAUUAAGCAAAUUUCAUAUGACACAAUAUAAAUUAAUUAAUUAUUUUAAUAAUUAAUUUAUAUCAUUUAAUACAAAUUAUGUGGAACAAGGCACGUCGUUAAUAAUCUUAAUUAAAGAAAUUUAAUACAUCACUUAAUUUGUAUCACUCAUGUGGUCCCAUAUAUAUAUAUAUUACAGGUUAAAUUGUUGCUAGUAAAGGCAAACUUAAGGCUGGAAGUUUCAUCUCUUUUUUGGGUUUCGUAAUUGAAUUUGUUUUCUCUGUCGUAACAAUUUUUUUGAUCUGCUUGUUUUGUUCUAAUACUAGCUACCAUCUCAAUUCAGUCACAGGAUGGAAUCUGGUCGACCAUCAAGUACUAAUCAUGAGCUGAGUCAUCAAGUUUCGCUUGAUAUUGAUAGAUUAGCCCAAUCCGUGACGGAAGAGCUGGAAAUCUCAAAUCCUUUCUCCGACACAUGCUGUAUAUAUAAAGUUCCUGAGCGAUUACGCGAGCUGAACGAAAAGGCCUACACACCUCGAUUAGUCUCCAUAGGCCCAAUUCACCAUGGUAAUGACAAGCUAAAAGCCAUGGAAGACCACAAAAGAAUGUACCUGAAAGAAUUCAUUGCCCGGACCAAGGUAAGUGUGAAGGGUUUUAUUGAAUUGAUCAAGGAGAAGGAAACAAGAUUGCGUAAUUGCUAUGCGGAGACCAAUGGGUUUAGUAGCGAAUACUUCAUAAAAAUGAUAUUAAUGGAUGCUGCCUUCGUCAUUAUGUUAUUGCUGAAGUGGACUUACACAGACUUCAGAGGAAGCAGAGACAGCAUUUUCUAUCCUCCAUACAAGAGUGUAGAUGUAAGGGUUGAUAUCUGUUUGCUUGAAAAUCAGCUCCCGUUCUUCAUCCUCGAGGAGUUGUGUGGACUAUCCCCUAUAUUCGGCAAUUCUCCAAAAGCUACACUGAUUGGGCUUACUCAUUGGUUCUUUUCAUAUGAAUGGGGUUCAUGGGCAGUAGGGGAAUAUUUGGGGGGAGUAGAUUUCUCCGAAGUGAAACAUUUGGUUGACUUUCUUACAAUUUAUCAUCGGCCAACUGAACAGCAACAGUAUGAGGAACUUGAGGUUCUAACCGCCCCCAGUGUAAAGGAGCUCCACCAAGCGGGGGUCAAGUUUGUGUUGAGUUCAAGCAAACAUCUUCUUGACAUAAAAUUCGAUAGAAAUAAAGGGAGACUAGAGUUCCCACGAUUACAGUUAGAUGACAGAACAGAAAUCAUAAUCAGGAAUAUGCAAGCCUUUGAGCAGUGCCAUGGCCUGACACAUGGUUAUGUUGGUGACUAUAUCUUCUUGAUGGGUCUCUUUGUCAGUGCCAGUAAGGAUGUGGAAAUGCUUGUUGAAAAUCGUAUUAUAGAAAACUGGCUACCGUCUAACGAGGAAGUGGUACAACUCUUUUACAAUCUCAACAAACAAAAUAGUGUGUGGUCAGGUACUUUUCUCUUUAAAGGUCUCAUUAAAGAUCUGAAUGCAUUCUGCGAAAGGCCAUGGAACAAAUGGAAGGCAAAUUUAAAGCAAAAUUAUUUCAAUACCCCAUGGGCAGCAGUCUCUGUCUCAGGAGCUGUUAUUCUUCUCAUUCUGACUGUCAUACAAUCCGUCUGCUCUAUACUUCAAGUAGUUUAGCUUCUGCAAUUUCAAUUCUUUCAUGUUGCUCUGUACUCUGUACUCUAUACCUAUAAUCCAUGUUUUCAAUAGAAAUUCCAAGUUAUCUCCUCCAGAGGGCAGCAGUCUCGUAAUUGAAUUUGUUUUCUCAGUGGUAACAAUUUUUUUGUCUGCUUGUUUUGUUCUAAUACUAGCUAUCAUCUCAGUUCAGUCACACUCACAUGUGCUGAAUCAUCAAGUUUCGCUUGAUAUUGAUAGAUUACGCGAGGCACCUGUGAAGGGACAGCUGGAAAUCCCAUACGCUUUCUCCACCACAUGUGCCAUAUAUAAAGUUCAAGAGCGAUUACGCGAGUUGAACGAAAAGGCCUACACACCUCGUGUAGUCUCCAUAGGCCCAAUUCACCACGGUAAAGAGAAGCUAAAAGCCAUGGAAGACCACAAAAGAAUGUACCUGCGGGAAUUCCUUGCCCGGACAGGGGUAAGUGAGGAGGCUUUUAUUGAAUUGAUCAAGUAGAACGAAAAAAGAUUGCGUAAUUGCUAUGCGGAGACCAAUGGGUUUAGUAGCGAAUACUUCAUAAAAAUGAUAUUAAUGGAUGCUGCCUUCGUCAUUAUGUUAUUGCUGAAGUGGACUUACACAGACUUCAGAGGAAGCAGAGACAGCAUUUUUCAUCCUCCAUACAAGGGUGUAGAUGUUAUGGUUGAUAUCUGUUUGCUUGAAAAUCAGAUCCCGUUCUCCAUCCUCGAGGAGUUGUGUGGACUAUCCCCUGUUUUCUUCCUUGAACUUUUCUUCUAAAUGACAUAUUUGUUUCAGUAUAAAUUCCAAGCAAUGAAGACUGUAUAAUUUGUUCUGAUUGUCUCUUUGAAACUGAAAUUGUUUUAUUCUAUGCCUUCCAGGCGCAUGCUUAACAUGGGGUUUAAGGUCUUAGCGGCUGUUUUCUUUCAUCUUAGAUUAUUGAUAAAGGAAGAAAACGCACCUCCUUACUCACACACCUUGAGAUUAUUGUUUACAUUACCAUAAAUUAGGACUGAAAGGGAGAAGGAAGGGAAGAAAGAACCCUAUGUUGAAGAUCAAUCUAGGUUUCUCUACAGCACCUCCUGUUUUUUGAAUUCUCUCCACUAUUUCCAAAGUGUAAGAGCGUGUUUGUGUGCGAGAGUGAGUGGGUGAGAAAAAGGAGAGUUUAGGUGGUGUGAGAAUAUUAUGAAAAGAAAAGCAUCUAGUGUGCAAGUGGCAUACAAAUUAGGAGGUGUCCUCGUAUCUUGUUAUUAAAUAAAACCUAGUUUGUUUAUUAACUAAGUUUGGUUUGUUUGAAAUUGUAAUAAUUUUUAAAAUAAUUUCUGAUUUGAAAAUAUUUAAAAAUAAAUUUAAACAUCAGUAUGUUAAAAUUAUUAAAAACAUUAAAAAUAAAUCAAAAACACUUUUAAAAAAACAUCUAAAAACAAAAGAAAAACAAAAAUUAUAACAAACACCCUCUAAAUCAUACACCUCAACGUUGCUAUAAGAUAUUACCAAAAAAAUGAAAAAUAAUAUUACGAAUCUCCAAAACAACACAUCACAAAUUGCAUUAAAUAGCCAUUUGAGCAGAAGAUUAAAUAAAAUCUUUUCAUUUUCACUGUAGCAAGUUAACAAAAAUUAUUUCUUAAAAAUAUAUUAUAAAAAAACCAGUAAAGAAUAGCAAUAUAUAUAAAAAAAAAACCUCGAUAUUGUGGCUUAACUUAUCAAACAUGUUUCGAACCAUGAACUCUAUCAGGUUCGAUAAUUUUCUCUCCUUAAAUUUAUAUUUAGCCUUAAUAAUAAUAAUAAUAAUAAUAAUAAUAAAAGAGCCAAAGCCUAGACUCGCGGGCAUAUGGGUCAGCACGCUUAGGCAACUGCAAUGAGGAGCCAAGAGUACUGGAAGGCCCUUCAAGGCCUCAUUUUAAAAGGGAUGAAUGAUUUGUCAUCGGUUUUUUUUUUUUUUUAAAAAUAAGCGAUAUGUCGCCAACUAGGACAGACAACAUGUCGUUUGCAAGUCUAGAUUCUAGCCACCACAACGGUGCCUAGAAAAUUAGGGUAGAGACAUAAAACUCAAUUUAAUUUUCAGAUAUUUCAACUCAAAAACAUCUCACCAACACCCUUAUAAUACUCGAGAAUUAUUUUAUCAAUUCCAAAUAGCCCUAAAACCCGAAAUCAAAUAAGAUUAGCUAAGAUUAGCUUUGGUUUUGUUAGUUUAGAUGUGGUUUUUAAUGCGACAUUGGGGCUCCAAACAACCAACCCGAUCGACAUGAUUGUUUGCUUUAUGCUAUACUUCAAACGAGGUUUAUAAUAGAAUUUUGUUAACUUGUAAAACACUGUAAUUGUAAUGCCUUAAAGCCACUGUAGAGAAUGCUUCCACCUUUGAUGCAUUUGCUUUAUCCUAUACUUGAAACGAGGUUUGAGAAUAUUAUAUUCUAAGUUCUAACCCUUCUAGCGCUGAAUAUUCCUCAAAGAAAAUGGCAGGAAAAAUCAAUAAUUUUAUGGCUUUUUAUGGUUUUAACUACAAGUGCAAAUCCAUUUGAUAGAACAGAGAGGUUCGUUAAACAUUUCAUGCCAUUUCUGCAUCAAUGUUAAAUCCUUCAUGAAGAGAUUGAUCUGGGUUUCGGUCUAGAUAUUGAAUGUGCAGUUACCUCCGGAGUUAGCUUUACUCUCUCGGGUUAUAUAGCCUGAUCUGUUGAUCUUAAUUGUGGAUCAUUUUGGAACUUAUAUUAAAUAGGGAGAGUCUACCAUUCUCGGUACAUUUCUUGAUCAAACUUUUCUCUAAUCAUAAAAUAUCUUUUUAUAUUAAAUCAUUUAAAGAUACCAAAUAUAAGUUUCGGUUUCCCUACCUACACUUUUUUUUUUCUCAAACUAUAAUUUGAUCUUGAAUUUUUUUUUUUUUUGAGCAUUUAUCUAACUGUUUGGUAAUUGUGAUACUAGCGAUUGUCUAGGCACGGUAUGAACGUUGCUGGAACAUCAAGAAUGCAGAUGGAUAGUGGCGAUCAUGUUUCUCUCGACAUUGCCAAAUUAGCAGAGUCUGUGGAAGGAAAGUUGAAAACCUUGCGUUCUUUUUCAGAUCAGUGUUCCAUCUACAGAGUUCCAGAACGACUACGUGAGUUAAAUGGAAAGGCUUACACACCUCGAGUAAUCUCCAUUGGCCCACUUCACUACGGAAAAGAAGAGCUAAUAGAAAUGGAAGAGCAUAAGAGACUGUACCUGAGGGAAUUUCUUGAAUUGAGCAAGGUAAGGGUGAGGGAUUUUAUUGCAGCUAUUGCAGAGAGCGAGACUAGAUUGCGUAGUUGUUAUGCAGAAACCUUCGAUAAACUAAGUAAAGAGGAAUUUGUGGAAAUGGUGUUGUUGGAUUGCUCCUUUCUCAUUAUGUUCUUUCUGAAAGCAUUUUCCCCUGUUAUCCAAAGUAGAUAUAUUGACCGCAUAUUCAAUAAACCAUGGAUGCUAGAUGAAAUAAGUAUUGAUUUGUGCUUGCUUGAAAAUCAGCUUCCAUUCUUCAUUGUUGAGGACUUGUUCAAUCUAUCCAAACUACAGCACCAUUGUGAGGAAUAUUCCAUGAUUAAAAUUAGUUACGCGUUCUUACUUGCUGCAUGGCAAUCAUGGGUGUCAGAGGAAAUUUUGGAGAAAAUCAAUUUGCUUAAAGUAGAGCAUUUUGUUGACUUUCUACGAAUCUGUCAGCAGCCAGCACAGGAGACGCAGCCAAAGAAACUUGCGACUAUAACCACUCCCAGUGUAGCAGAGCUCCAUCGGGCUGGAAUCAAGUUCAAGUUAGGGUCCAGCAUAAACCCCCUCCUCAUAAAAUUUGAUGAUAAUAAAGGGACGUUGGAAAUCCCACAGUUAAAGAUAGGCGAGCACGCAGAAAUCCUAUUCAGAAAUCUCCAAGCUUUUGAGCAAUGCAAUUACGAUGCUAAUAAAUAUGUAUGUAACUAUAUUACCAUGCUCUCUUUGCUUGUCCCCGAUGCCAAGGAUGUGGAAAUACUUGUUAAAGAAGGAAUUAUAGAAAAUUGGCUCCAUGAUAAUGAUGCAGUUUCACGCCUUUUUCGCAAUCUUUCCAAGGAAAAUGUUAUCAACGUCAACAAUUUCUACUUUUCUGGUGUAGUUGAAGAUCUGAACAAGUACUACAGUAAGCGGGUACACAAAUGGAAGGCAGCCUUGAAGCAGAAAUAUUUCCGUAAUCCAUGGACUAUAAUCUCUGUUGUAGCAGCUGCUGUUAUAGUCAUACUCACUAUCAUACAGACAGUGUGUUCGAUCAUUCAAGUUGUUUGAUUAUGCUAUUUCAGUUGUUUUCUGUAAAUUAACUGUGUAUUCUGUUAUCUCUUCCCAUGAAAUUUCUAUAUAUGUUCUUCAAUUACUCAUCAAUAUUUCCUCCCUAUCUUGCUUUCUCUGCUACAUAAUUAGCAUAUAUAAAAUGCAAUCAAUUUUUGCUGUUUCAGUUUACUCAUGUCAUUAAAGUAGCUACAUUUUCCCCCACUUACUGUUGCCUUGUAAUUUCUAUCUUCUGCUUUUGGCACUUUCUGGUGUAGUUAAAAGAUCUGAACAAGUACUGCAGCAAGUGGAGAGACAAAUGGAAGGCAGCCUUAAAACAGAAGUAUUUCCAUAUUUGCUUCGUUGUGGUAAGAAGCAACUUGAUCAGCUCAACAGUCCUGAUACUGUUGGAUUGUCAUUUUUGAAUGUCACUUUCUCUGAAACUAAAAAACCUUAAAAUUCAAAUCUAUUUUUAUAUGCCAUUUAGUUCUUGUUCAAACAAUUCUGCUCAUAAGACACCUGCAGUCAUUUUCUUCAGGUCUGUCGUAAGCAGGUUUGCAUGUCAUUGUUCUAUGCAAGACAUGCUUGAUGUUUAAGUUAACAUCCGUGUUUUAAUAAAUCUCAGUUUCUUUCAUGCCUAGUUUUUUUCUUCAACAUGGAUAUUGUAUGAAUCAAACUGCAAUCAAUUUGUCAAAAUAGUAAAAUCACGGAGAAGGGACAGGAAACGGUCAGGGAUGUUGAAUGAAGAGCAGAAUUGUUGCCAGAUCGAGAAUGGUUAAUUUCCCACAGUAAUUAUAUGGUUUGAGUUGAUCAAGAAGAAGUUUGGGUUUCUAGAUUUUUGUGAAAAGGUAACCAGAUGAUCAUUGUAAGCAGCAGGUAUUGGAGUUGACCAUUCUGGCAGAGAAUCAGCUGACACAUUUUUGAUGUCCCAGUCAGCAGUUGUAUGACCAGCAAAUAGAGAAGGGCCAUAAAGUAUUGCUUGAAUUGAAGCAUACUCAGGCCUGUCAUCUGAAUUUCAUGCACAAGAAUUUGUCAGCUCCAUUUUUCAUUAGAGCCCUUCACAUAUCAACACACAGAAGCAUCUUUUAGGGGUUAUCUCGUGUUAUACCUUUGAUUUUCUCCAGUCUUAUACUGAUAGGCAGCUUAAGGGUUAAUCUGUCAUCAGGGCUCUAUAAUCGUCUAGUGAUCGAUAAGAAAUUUCUUUGAAUGUAGAAGAUGGAAAGAAUGGGGCAAUUGGGAUUCAACUGAAUUGUUUUCCCUUUGUUUCUCAUUUUUAAAGAAAAAAAAAGUAAAGCAUUAUGCUUGUGCUUCACACCUGAAGCUGGAAUUUGCCAAGUUGAAUCAUUAAUUACUGUCUCAGCACCUUCUAAAUGCGUCCAAGUUGGUAUUCUCAUACUUUUAUAUUAUCAAGGAUAAUUUCUUAUCUUAUUAUUGAAACGAGCUGCAAUUUCUACUUUUCUGAAAUUGUUGAAGAUCUGAAUAGAUACUGUAGAAAGCGGAGGCACAAAUGGAAGGCAAGAUUGAAACAAAAUUAUUUCCGUAAUCCAUGGGCCAUAAUAUCUGUUAUAGCUGCUGCUAUUCUCCUCAUGCUCACCGUGAUACAAACUGUGUGCUCUAUCGUUCAAGUUGUUUAGGUCUACUAUCUCAAUUGUUCUCUGUGUACAUGUACUUUACUAUCUAGUCAUUGUUAUCUUCUUCAAUUUACCUGCUGUAUUUCUUGAUGGCAAAACAUCAACAAAAUUUUUAAUAAAUUAACAGAAAAAAUAAGAGGCGUGGCUAUUUCACUGUAACAAAAUUCACGUAAGAACAAUAAUUUGACUUGCUGUGCAACACGGGAAAGGAUCUAGUCAUGCUCUACCAUGAUUGUUUGCUUUAUGCUAUACCUUAUACUUCAAAGGAGGUUUAUAAUAGAAUAUUGUUAGCGUGUCAACCAUUAUAAUUGUAGAAAAUGCUUCCACCUUUGAUGCAUUUGCUUUAUGCUAUACUUGAAACGAGGUUUGAGAAUAUAUAUUAUGUUCUAACCCUUCUAGCUGAAUAUAUAUUCCUCAAAGAAAAUGGCAGGAAAAAUCAAUAAUUAUGGCUUUUUAUGUUUUUAACAUAUAUUUGAUAUAACCGAGAGAGGUUCGUUAAACAUUUCACGCCAUUUCUGCAUCAAUGUUAAAUCCUUCAUGAAGAGAUUGAUUUGGUCAUCGGUCUAGCUAUAGAUUGUGCAGUUAUCUCCUCCAGAAUUAGCUUUCCUCUCCCUCAGAGUACACAGCCAGUUCUAUUGAUCUUCAUAUUGGGAAUCGCUGAAACUAAAACUAGUCUGAAUAUUAAGGGAAAUUCAACGUUCUGAUAAGUGACAUAAUGGUUUUAAAUUGGAAAACAUCCCGUAGAAUCUCCUUUAAAUUUUUAAUCUUCAAUUAUUAUUAUUUUAAACUGUUAUCCUGGUCUUACAUGACCGGAUCUCUUUUCAGAUUUAGACUUAUCUUUCACAUUUUGUUUGGGACAAAUCUCUAUAUAACUGCUCAUAACUCUAGAUCUCGCAAAUAAUUAAUAUUAUAGAACAAAACUAAUUAUUAUCUAAGAGGAUCCUUUGCUUGCCAUUGGAGAAAUAAAACAUUUUGGAAUGUAUAUUAAAGAGGAAGAGUCUACCAUUCUUGGUACAUCUCUUUGGACACUAGAGGCAGAGCAAAAGUUCUAAAACUGCCGGUUGUCGAGAGCUUUUAAGUAUGUAAGUUUCUAUACAACAGGCUUUUUAUGAUUGAUAUGUUCUUUUUGUUUUUUUUUUUGUUCUAAAUAAUAUUGUGUGAAAAAUAAUUUUCUCAAGAGAAAAGAAUUAUCAACAUUAUUUGCACAUUUCUUUAUCAUACUUUUUUUGUCAUGAUAAAAUAUCAUUUUUUUCUAACGACAAACUCUUAGAAUUCUUUUCACAAAUAUAAAACUUAUUAAGCAAAUUUCAUAUGAAACAAUAUAUAAUAAUGAUUUAUUUUGAUAAUUAAUUUAUAUCAUUUGAUACAAAUAAAGUGGAACUAUACAAGGCACAUUAUCAAUAACUUUAAUUAAAGAAACUUAAUACAUCGCUUAAUUUGUAUCACUCAUGUGGUCGCGCAUAUAUAUAUAUAUAUUACUGGUUAAAUUGUUGCUAGUGAAGGCAAACUUAAGGCUGUAAGUUUCAUCUCUUUUUUGGGUUUCGUAAUUGAAUUUGUUUUCUCAGUGGUAACAAUUUUUUUGAUCUGCUUGUUUUGUUGUAAUACUAGCCAUCAUCUCAGUUCAGUCACAGGAUGGAAUCUGGUAUUGAUAGAUUAAUCCAAUCCGUGAAGGAAGAGCUGCAAAUCUCAUAUGCUUUCUCCGACACAUGUUGUAUAUAUAAAGUUCCUGAGCGAUUACGCGAGCUGAACGAAAAGGCCUACACACCUCGAUUGGUCUCCAUAGGCCCAAUUCACCAUUGUAAUGACAAGCUAAAAGCCAUGGAAGACCACAAAAGAAUGUACCUACAAGAAUUCAUUGCCCGGACCAAGGUAAGUGUGGAGGGUUUUAUUGAAUUGAUCAAGGAGAAGGAAACAAGAUUGCGUAAUUGCUAUGAGGAAACCAAUUGGUUUAGUAGCGAAAACUUCAUAAAAAUGAUAUUAAUGGAUGCUGUCUUCGUCAUUAUGUUUUUGCUGAAGUACAAUUGCAGGAAGUCCACAGAAUUCACAGGUAGCAGAGACAGCAUUUUCUAUCCUCCAUACAAGUGGUUUGAUGUAAGGGUUGAUAUCUGUUUGCUUGAAAAUCAGCUCCCGUUCUUCAUCCUCGAGGAGUUGUGUGGACUAUCCACUAUACUCGGCAAUUCUCCGAAACCUACACUGAUUGAGCUUACUCACGGGUUCUUUUCAAAUGAAUGGGGUUCAUGGGCAGUAGGGGAAUAUUGGGGGAAAAUAGAUUUCUCCGAAGUGAAACAUUUGGUUGACUUUCUUACAAUUUAUCAUCGGCCAACUGAACAGCAACAGCAUGAGGAACUUGAGGUUCUAACCGCACCCAGUGUAAAGGAGCUCCACCAAGCAGGGGUCAAGUUUGUGCUGAGCUCAAGCAAAAAUCUUCUUGACAUAAAAUUCGAUAGAAAUAAAGGGAGACUAGAAUUUCCACGAUUACAGUUAGAAGACGGAACAGAAAUCAUAAUCAGGAAUAUGCAAGCCUUUGAGCAGUGCCAUGGCCUGGGAUCUGGUUAUGUUGGUGACUAUAUCUGUUUGAUGGGUCUCUUUCUCGGUGCCAGUAAGGAUGUGGAAAUACUUGUUGAAAAUCGUAUUAUAGAUAAUUGGCUAUUAUCUAAAGAGGAAGUGGUAAAACUCUUUCACAGUCUCAACAUAGAAAAUUUAGUGUCGCCAGAUGGUUUUUUCUUUGAAGGUCUCAUUAAAGAUCUGAAUGCAUUCCGCGAAAGGCCAUGGAACAAGCGGAAGGCAAAUUUAAAGCAAAAUUAUUUCAAUACCCCAUGGGCAGCAGUCUCUGUCUCAGGAGCUGUUAUUCUUCUCAUUCUGACUAUCAUACAAUCCGUCUGCCCUAUACUUGAAGUGGUUUAGCUUCUGCAAUUUCAAUUCUUUCAUAUGAAUUAAUUCGCAUGUUGCAUUAAUUGUACCCAUAAUCCUUGUUCUCUUCUUUGUUUUGUUCUUCCAAAUGACAAAGUUGUUUCUGUAGAAAUUCCAAGCAACGAAGACUAUAUAAUUUGUUCUGAUUGUCUCUUGGAAACUGAAAUUGUUUUAUUCUAUGCCUUCUCCGCGCAUGCUUCACCUAAUAUUUAAAUCAAUAAAAGUAUAAUCUAAAAAUCUCAUGAUCUAAAAAAUAAAUAUAAACAAAAAUGAUUGAAUAAACUCACGCUAAAAAAAAAUAUUAUGCAAGACCCAACAAAUCAAGAAUAUUAUUUAAAAAUUAUUUUUUUUAAUUUUGAAAAAUAAAGUUCACUUGUAUAAAACCAAAAAAAAUAAUUACAGAUGAAUUGGAAUAAUAUCUUGAAAAAUCAAACACAAACAAAAUAAUUCUAAAAAAAACUUAUAUUAAAAAAUGACAUGUAAAAUCGGUGAUCUAUGUCAUGAGAUCGGGAUAAACUCAAUGAAAAAAAAUUGAAAGAGAUUACAAAAAUAAAAAUUUAUAAAAAAAAACUAAUGCAGAACGAUAAGAUCACAUGACAAAUUAAAUGUCAAAAAAUAAACCAGAAAAAAAAAUUACACAAAAGGAUCUAAAAAAUAAGGGUGAAAAAAGAACAUUAAUUAGAGGGAAAAUAAAAAAUUUUAAUUGGAGGGUUAAAUUGAAUUAGAAAAUAGCUUUAACAGAAGAAGAAAAAAUCAAAAGAAUGAGGGUUUAACUGUAAAAAAUAAAACAAUUAAAACUUUGAUUAAAAGAUGAAAUUGAAAGAAAAAAAAAUCAAUAAAAUGGCAAAGAAAAAAUAUUAAAAAUAAAAAAAAUAAGGACCAAAAUGAAAAAAAAAACAUAUGAGAAAUCAUAAUUGAAGGACUAAAUUUAAAAAAAAAACAUUUCUAUAAAAGGAAUAAGAACAAAAUAAGGAAUUAAAAGAAUGAAAACUAAAAUUAAAAACAAAACAUAUGAGAAAUUAUAAUUGAAGGACUAAAUUUAAAAAAAAUAUAUAUCUAUAAAAGGAAUAGGAACAAAAUAAGAAAUAAAAGGAAUAAGGACUAGAACUAUAAAAGGAAUAAGAAUAAAAUAAAAAAUUAAAAGAAUGGGGACUAAAUUGAAAAAACAAAAACUUUUCUAAAAGGAAUAAGAACGAGAUAAAAAAUUAAAAGAACGAGGACUGAAAUUGAAAGAAAGAAAGAAAAAAAGAGGAUAAUGAUAUACUUUAUAUGUUAGAGGAGAGAGAGAGGAAAAAAAAAGAAAACAAAGAAAACAAACGACUACCAUUGUGAAACCGUAGAAAUUUAUAAUUUAAAUAUGCGGAUGUGUAAACUCUCAUGUAAACAUAAGACUGAAAGUGAUAUGAUCUCAAUGAGUGAUGAAAACCACGAUAAGAAAUAAUAGAUAAAUAAUAAUAUAUAAUGGAGGGGAUGACCUCCAUAAAAAUGAAUUUUGGUUUAGAAUUCAUAAGGACAGAGAAAUUGGUAACGUGUUUUGAUGGAUAAAAUAAUGAGGAAAAUGAUGAAAUGUUUCUAAGUAAUAAGUAAGGUAAUAAAGAAUAAAUUAUAAUAAAGGAUAGUGCAAUGAAAAGGGUAGGACUAAAGGUGCAAGCACCGAUUAAAAAUCAGUGACGUUACUUUGAAACGGUAAUAAGUCCGGUAAACAAAUAAAGGUGGAAAUUUUAAAAUGAAUAUAUUCCAAAAUAAUAAAAUGAACUUAAAGGUUUAGAAUUAUAAUUGAUAUGAUUUUAAGUGAAGAUUGAAUAAGAAAAUCUGGAUUGUUGACGAAAAGUCAUGAACUAAUCAAUUUUAUAUUAGAAAGCAGAGCUCUCAAUUCAAUCAUCGGAUUGUGAUGAAAUUUUGCAUGAAGUCUAUUAAUAUGUUUUCCUUCCUUGGUUAAAGAUCUCAUCCCAAUCGAAGUUCAGUAAAGACUAGCGAUUUAAGCAGAAACAAACCAAAUAAUUUAUGUGAAAAAUAAAAUAAAAUAUAUAAAGGCAUAACUAAGGGAUAAAAUUGUAAUUAAUGGAAAAGGGUUCUAUAAAAUAGCAAAGAAACCAGCAGCCCAGACAAAAAAAAAAGGUGAGAGACAAUAGAGAAAAUUCGGCUAGAGAGAGAAGUGCAUAAUUUGGAGGAGCCAAUAAUGAUUCGGUGGCCAUAUCUCUAGCAUCCACUGUUGGAUCAUGCUGAUUUUUGGAUAUAUUAUUCCUCUAACACUCCACUACUAACGGACCGGAGGGAUUUUAAAGCACACAAUGCUUUCAACAUAUCAUCAUCGUAAACUUCCUGGAAAACAAAAGGAAAUACACCUGUAGGGCAGUUUUGGUCGCCGACCGACUUCUCUCUCUUCCACCAUUGGAUCAUGUUUAUAUUUGGAUAUGUGGUGCAUCUAGAUGUUGCCUUCAUUCUGGAUGGUGGAGAUCGAAAACACACUCUUCGAAAAGGUUUCGUUAAUGUUGAACAGUAGCUCGUUAAUUUUCAGGUUAACUUGGUUUUAUUCAGAUCUAGGGAGAUCCAACUGUUGGAACAUUUUGAUUUUGAGAUAUAUUGUGCACAACUCUAUGAUAUAUAGUUUGACCGUUGUGUGUAAAACAAUAAUCAGAGGUUGAUGACUUAUUGCGUUUUGAAUCUAUUGCUAGUUUUGGCAAAAUUUAGAAAACUUGAUUAAAAACAUGUUUUGAUGAAAUUAGAAUUGUGUGGGUGUUAGGGUUUAUGGAAGACGUAAUAGUAAAAUAUGUUAUUGCUAUUAAUGUUGUUAUAGAUUAAAUGUGUAUUCUUUAUAUGAGGGGAAUAAUGAUUAUGGUGUAAGAAUAGAAAGGAACCUUACUAUAUGAACAUGUUAAUUGAAUAAAAGGCUAACUUGUUGGUUGUGUGGAUAUGAAUGGGAUGGAGCCAUGAAGAAAUUGAAAUGAAAGAAAUUUGGAAAAUAAAACAUAUUUAAGGUUGGCCAUAAGUAUAUUUUUGACAAAUUAAUUAGUUAAUGAAGAUUAUCAUUAAUGAUGUAAGAAUAUUAAUUGUUAAGGUUUGUCGCAUAUGUUUAAUUAUACGAGGAGAAAGUGAAAGAAAAUGAAUGGUUCAUUGUUUUAUUGUAUUAAUAAUGCUAAACAAUGAUAAUAACAUAUGUAGUGUGUGUAAAAAAAAUUAGGAGAAAUUCCAAAGGGAUGAGUUUCCUUAUUUUGACCUAAUCUUGCUAUAUUAUAGAGGUAGGGAAAUUGUAUGAAUGUUUUGUUUUAAAAUUGGUUUAAAUUUGUGAUUUAAUGAUGUCAAAUGACCUUGGAUAAUGUUGUUUAUGCAUGAAAAUAAAUUGGAAGUUGAAAAGAAUUUUCAAGGGAUGAAAAUCCUCGUUGUUUAAAAGUUUAGCUAUAAAAAAAAGCUAUUGUGAUUGUUGAUUUUGAGCCUUAAAACAAAAUAAUUUGGAGUUGGUUUCUUCAUAAAAAUUGUAUUUUCAUGUUUUAGCCUUUCAUAGAGAUAAAUCACGCCCAAAACUGAGUUUUUACAGUUUUAGUUAUGAUUAAACCACUAAAUAGUGUUCUGAGUUGGUUAAGCUAAAUUGAUCAGAAUUAGACAAUUUUUAAUCUUUGCUUGAAAUUGCUGUUAAGUGAUGGUUUUAAUAACAAAAUUAUAAGAAUGAAUAUGAACAUAAAAAUGGGUAAGAGUAUGAGAUUCUAAGGGAAUUCCUUGUGAUUAGUUUGAGAAUACUAGUUGAAUGAGAAUUAAAUGAAGUUAUGAUGUUAGUUGUAUUGUUGAUAAAAACUACAUCCCUGGUAGUAUAGGGGAAGCUAUGGGGAUUGAACAAUUGCAUGAAGUGGCAACACAUGCAUAUACUCUAGGUAGGUGCAUCGCACCUUGUCUUUUUAAAUUGUGUAAACUUAUUGAUAAAUUUCAGAAUUUAUUAUUUUAUUGCUUUGAUAAUAUUGGAAUGAAUAAGAGUACCUUGCAUACUUGGAUGUGCAUCGACUAGUUAUGAUAUAAUUAAAAUGGAUAUGAGUAGGGGUGAUCAUUUUCGGUUUGGUUUUUAUCAAAAAAACAAAACCAAAACCGGUUUGAACCGACCGGUUUCGGUUUGGUUAUUUUAGAACAAAAACUGGUUUUUUUUGUUUGGCUCGAUUUUUCUGGUUUGGGUUCAGUUUGGUUUUUUCGGUUUCAAGGAUAUAAAACCAAAACUGAACCGAAUCGAUCGGUUUUUAAAAAAUUUCAAUCAGUUUAAUCGGUUUUUUUCACAGUUCGGUUUUUUUUGUUAUUUUUUUUUGUUUUCUCGAUUUUUCAGUUUUUUUGCUCACCCCUAGAUAUGAGUACCUUAUGUAGAUUUACAUGUAUCAAACUUGUGAUGAUAUUAUUGGAAUGAAUAAGAGUACCUUGUGUACAACAAUAUACAUCCAUUAGUUAGGAUAAUGUUUGAACGAAUAUGAGUAUCUUGCGUGCAUUGUUAUGUAUCAAAUUAAUUAUGUUAUUAUUAGGAUGAAUACAAUUAUCUUACAUUGAUAGGUAUGGAAUUAGUCAUAAUAACUUUAGAAUAGACGUAAUUAUCUUACGUACCAUUGUAUGGAUUGGGUAUACACAAUGACUUGGAGAUUGAAGGAGAAAUGAUAGAUAAUUGGUCACCAUAGUGUUGGUGGCUAAGGAUACAUUACAAUGAUACUUACCAUCAUGAUGAGGAUGACUAAGGGCAUAAAUUGAUACUUGACACUGUGAUGAGGGUGACCAAGGUUAUAUGAAUAAUGCUUAGUAACUAUAAUGUUAAUAACUAAGAAUGUGUGUGAAUGAUACUUGAAAACCGUGGUUAUAAUGCAUAUAAUUUAUUUAUUCUUUCUUUUUUUGGGAUUUGAGGUUCCAAAGCAGCGCAGUGGCUGCCUUUCAGGAGGCGGCAGAGGCGUAUCUUGUUGGGUUGUUUGAGGAUACCAACUUGUGUGCUAUUCAUGCUAAGAGGGUAACUAUUAUGCCUAAGGAUAUCCAAUUGGCCCGAAGGAUUAGAGGAGAGAGGGCUUAAUUGUAAAACUUUCCCAGAUUAAAUGAGAAAUUGCAUUGCUUUAUUUGGAUUCUAUUUGAUGAUUUAUCUUUAAAUUAAAUCUCUCUCUAAUCAAUCUUGUUCCCAAAUGGAAAGGAUAGAGCAUCUUUUGCAUUGUAUUGAUCACGCUCCAUGUUUCAUAGAGACCUAAUUGCCCAAAACGUUUGAUUUUAAGGACUAAAAUGUAAUAUAAGAACAUAAAAUCUCAAAUAAGGACCAAUUUGUCAAUAAAUAAAAUAGGAAAAAGAAAAAUUUAAACCAAACAACUAACAAUGAUGAUAAAUGAUCUUUCAAAUCACUCUUAUUAUUUAUGAGUAUCAAAUUGGAUUCUUUGGAUUUUUUUAUUAAAAGAUUUUUUUAAGAAACAUUAUCGUAAAGUUAUCUUCAAGGUCAUAUUAUUGAUGGAAGAUCUCAUCUUAUCAUAAUUAUUAUAAAAAACAUAAUAUUAAAAGUUUUAUUCAAAGGAGAUAGAGCUUAUUAAAAAACAAAAUUAGAUCCAAAACUACACACAACUAGAUUUGAAUUUAUUAAAAAUAAAUAAAAAAGAACUGAAAGGGAUGUCAUGGAAGAAAGAAUCAUCCAUGGCAUAUGAUGAAGGAAAUAAAGGCAUAAAAAAUAAGCCAUGUAUGCGAUCGUGGGAACUGAAAGACAGCAAUGUAGCAAAUAACUAAUUCGAGCCAUAGCACAAUUUUAGAAAUAAAUGUAUAGUGAGAAUAUGGUAUUUAUUAUUUUUUAAAAUGAUUUUUAUUUAAAAAUAUAUUAAAAUAAUAUUUUAUUUAUUUAUUUAUUUUGAAUAUCAAUAUAUUAAAAUGAUCUAAAAAUAUAAAACAAAUCAAUUUAUUUUUUUAAAAAAACAAAAACCCAAGUUAAAACUCAUUGCAAAACACUCUCCGUAAUAUUGCCAGCAAUAAACAUACGUACACUACGCAUGUAUACAUAGCAACAAGUUUUAGGUUAUACAAGAAGAAGUAAUUAUAUCUCAAAUCUUUAGGAUUUUCUACUAAUUCCAGCCAUAGCACAAUUUAAAAAAAAAUAUUUUAUCUAAAAAUACAUCAAAUUGAUGUAUUUUUAAAUUUAUUAGAUGGUUUUGCUACAACCAUAUAAAAAUCACUUGAAAAUAAUCAAAUCAACGAAUUUUUUCAUGUUAAGAAGAACUCUCACUCAAUCAGGCUGCCAAACACAUAAUUAGCCACUUGAGAAACAUCUAACAACCCUAGCUGUAUGUUAUGGCGUGAAUCUCUGGCAACGAUACUGCAAUGGAGGAACUGGACAAACUUGAUCACUCGAGCAUUAAGUAUUGAUGGUAUAUUAUAGAAGAAGAAGAUCAUGCUCUCUCCCUAGGCCUCACCUUAGAUUAAAAUAUGCUGUAGCAAUACGUGACGGAUUCUUCACAUUAUUUAGGGACCAAGCAUUAGGUGUUUAAUUAGUGGAAGAAAACACAAGCAAGUUUGUCUGGAUAUUAUUUUCAAAAUCUUAAAUUAGUUUUAUAGAAAAAACUUAUAAUAUUGACAAGUUUUAGAGUUUUCAUUGCAUGAGUAUGGGCCUUGAGUCUGGGGUUGAUAGACAGGCUUUGGCAAAGCUCAUUAAUGGGCUGGGUUGCCCAGGGAAAUUAGUCCAAGAAAUCUCUCCCUCCUCUCCGCAAAAGCUAGAGAAUUUUCAAGGUCUCUAAUCUUGAAGACAGUCUCUUCACCAUCCUACUCAGCCGCCCCAUGUUAAGCAGCAACUCACAAAGAGGUAUCCUACUGCACCUAAAUUUUCUCCUUAGAUGAAACGAUUGAUUUGAAUUUCUUUGAUGUUUUGAUUUGUCAAUGUUUCCAUUACUGGGUUUUAAGCGUUUCUUAGGCGAGGAAGCAGAAUUUGAUAGCCUGGAACUCAACUAUGUAAUUGUUUUAUGCUAUAGUUUUGUGUUCUAAUUGAUAUAUCGGCCUGAAAUACAUCAGUAUAAUCGAUCGCUUUAGAUGUGAUAUCGGUCCUUGGACUUAGUUCUAAGGCUUUCAAGAACUAGGAGAGUUCACUCGAAUGAUUUCUCUAGUUGGAUUAUGCUCUAGUUGGAUUAUGCACAGUGUUAAGUACAGACUUCAGAAUGCUCUCAUCCUUCAGAAAGCUAUUUCUAAUGCUAGCUUAACUUAAGCUUGUAGUAACUGGGAUCUCUUGUAAUUUCAGUUCAGUUUUCUAUGAUUCUUCUUAUCUUUUUCAGUAGGGUUGAGCUAGCACUUGAGUUCCUUUUUUCUUUAAUGAAAGAUUUAAAGAAAAAUUAGAAAGUGUUGUAAUUAGUGAUUUGCUGAUGCUAAAACUAGCAAUCAUCGUGAUCCGUAGAAUGGAGAUAAUUGGGACAUCAAGCGAGAAGAUGAAGACAGGCGAUCACGUUUCGAUUGAUAUUUACAAGUUAGGGAAGACUAUGAGAGAGGAGUUGGAGAUCUUGCAUCCUUUACUUGAUGACUGUUGCAUUUACAUGGUUCCUAAGCGGUUGCGAGUGUUAAAUGAAAAAGCCUACACACCACAAGUUGUCUCUAUCGGCCCACUUCAUCAUGGCAGGGAAGAAUUCAAAGCAAUGGAAGAGUGCAAAAGAAGGUAUCUGAAAGAUUUUCUUGCGUGGAGUGAAUUAAGCUUGGAGGAUUUGAUUGGAGUUACUGAGAUGGAAGAGACAAGGCUUCGUAAUUGUUAUGCAGAAGCAAUUGAACUCAGUAGUGAUGUUUUUGUGAAGAUGAUGCUGCUAGAUGCCGCCUUCAUCAUUAUGAUCAUGCUGAAAAACUAUUUUCUAGACUUCCAGAGCAGCAACGAUCGUAUUUUCAGUAGACCAUGGAUGAUUCAUGAUAUAAGGUUUGAC